AUGUGGACCAUCUUGGAUAGAUGUCAUCUGUUAGGUAGUAUCCCUUAUUGCAGUGACGCCCAUUGACCUCCAAGUUCAGCAGAGGAUCAUGACCUUCAACAAGCGUGACAAAAACAUUCAAGCACUGCAGUACGUUGAUGUCAUUGUGAGUUCCUCGCAAUAUGAUGGAAGGAGUGCCAAAUCGAGAGGUCAUGUGUGGCCCUGCCUCAAGUACCACAUUGCAAGCUCCUUUGGCGCCUUUGUACAUUCCCUGUCAAGCAAAUUGAUAGUUUUUCCAUGCCCAAUGCAUGCAGUUGAUGCUUCCAAGCAUCCCAUGAAAUCCUCUUGCUGCAUUCUGUGCUAGGAUCUGAGCAGUGUCUUCGACAUUGGAUGAUCGCAAGUGUCAUGAUUCAAACACAGCCACCACUGCCCUGCAAAACUUGUACAAACGCUCAAUGGUGGUGGCCUCAGCCAUGCGUCCACAGUCUUCCCGUAUAUCACCGGGAGCUCCACGUGGAAGCAUCCUCAUAGCUGUCGUGCACUUCUGGAGUGAGGAGAAUCCAACUGUGUCGAUGCAAUCCUUCUUGCAAAUGAAACAGCUGUCGAACUCCUGGAUGACAUUCACGAUCCCGAGGAAGAGCUUUUAUCCCAUCUGAUAACUGCGCCGUAAUACUUUCUCGCCGUGCAGUGGAGCGUUGCUGCUGGCUACGCCUAUAGGGAUUUCCUUGGCAAAUAUGCAAAGAAUUCCCCCGCGGCCUUGGAGCCUUGCGUUGGUGUUCCCUUGAAGAGGAAAGGGUGAUGUAGCACAGCGGCGGUAAGUAUUUCCCUCAGUUUGAGAACCAAGGUAUUAAUCCAGUAGGAGAAUCGCGUCAAGUCACACGUACCUGCACAAACACAAAGAGCUUGCACCCAACGCUAUGAAGGGGUUGCCAAUCCCUUAUAGAUUGUUUGCAAAGUGAGAACUGAAAACAAAAAGUAAACAAAGCAAAGUAAAAGUAAAAGCUGAGAUGAUAGUUGUGAAUAGACCCGGGGGCCGUAGUGUUCACUAGUGGCUUCUCUCAUGAAAGCAAGUAGACGGUGGGUGAACGAAUUACUGUCGAGCAAUUGAUAGAACCGCGCAAAGUCAUGACGUUAUCUAUGGCAAUGAUCAUACAUAUAGGCACCACGUCCAAAACAAGUAGACCGAUACUUUCUGCAUCUACUACUAUUACUCCACACGUCGAUCGCUAUCCAGCAUGCAUCUAGUGUAUUGAGUUUGUAAGAACAGAGUAACGCCUUAAGCAAGAUGACAUGAUGUAGAUGGACAAUCUCAAAUAUAUGAUGAAAGCCCAUCUUGUUACCCUUGAUGGAAACAACACGAUGCGUGCCUUGCUGCCCCUUCUGUCACUGGGAAAGGUCACCGCACGGUAUGAACCCAAAACCAAGCACUUCUCCCAUUGCAAGAAUCAUAGAUCUAGUUGGCCAAACAAAACCAAAGACUCGGAGAGACUUACAAGGAUAUCAAAUCAUGCAUAUAAGAAAUCAGCAAAGACUCAAAUAUAAUUCAUAGAUAAUCUGAUCACAAAUCCACAAUUCAUCGGAUCUCGACAAACACACCGCCAAAGAGGAUUACAUCGGAUAGAUCUCCAUGAAGAUCAUGGAGAACUUUGUAUUGAAGAUCCAAGAGAGAGAACAAGCCAUCUAGGUACUAACUACGGACCCGUAGGUCUAAAGUGGACUACUCACGAGUCACUGGAGAGGCAAUGAUGUUGAUGUAGAAGCCCUCCAGCUCCAAAGUCCCCUCCGGCAGGGCACCGGGAAGGGUCUCCAGAUGAGAUCUCGCGGAAACGGAAGCUUGCGGCGACGGAAAAGUGGUUUCGUGGACGCCUUUAUUUUUUCUGGGAUUUUAGGGAAUAAAUAGGCCAAAGAGCUAGGGCAGGGGAGCUCCAGGGAGGCCACAAGCCUGGUGGCCGCGAGCCCCCUGGCUGCGGCUACACGGCUUGUGGGCUCCCUGUGGGCCUCCUGCCUUGGCCAUCAAGUCCCCCGAUCUUCUUCUGUUCUGGACAAAUUUAUUUCGGGGAUUUUAUUCCGUUUGGACUCCGUUCCAAAAUCAUAUCUGAAAAGAAUCAAAAACACACAAAAAACAGGAACUGGCACUUGGCACUGAAUUAAUAAGUUAGUCCCAAAAAAGAUAUAAAAGGUAUAUAAAACAUCCAAAGUUGACAAGAUAACAACAUGAAAGCAUCAAAAAUUAUAGAUAGGUUUGAGACGUAUCAAGCAUCCCCAGUCUUAACUCCUGCUCGUCCUCGAGUAGGGAAGUGAUAAAGAAUGAAUUUUUGAUGCUUUCAUGCUACCUAGCAUAGAUGUCCUUUGUAACUCCUCUUAUGUGACAUGAAUGUUCAGAUCCGUUAGAUUCAAAAUAAUAGUUUGCUAUUGACGUGGAGACAAUAAUAAUUCAAGCAAACUAUCAAGGUAAUCAUGAACUUUCAAAAUAACAAAGCCAAAAGAAAGUUAUCCCUACAAAAGCAUAUAGUCUGGCUAUGCUCUAUCAUCCUUGCACAGCGAAUUUAAAUCAUGCACAACCUCGGUAUUGGCCAAGUAAUUGUUUUCGCACCUUUACUUUCUCAAACUUUUUCAACUCUCACGCAAUACAUGAGUGUGAGCCAUGGUUUUAGCACUAUAAGUGGAAUGGAGUGUGGUGGAGGUUGCAAGGCAAACAAGGAGAAGACGGUCACAUUGACUAGGUAUAUCAAUGAACUAUGGAGAUGCUCAUCAAUAGAUAUCAAUGUGAAUGAGUAGGGAUUGCCAUACAAAUGAUGCACUAGAGCUAAGAGUAAGUGAAAGCUCUUAAAGAAAACUAGUGGGUGUGCAUCCAACUUGCUUGCUCACGAAGACCUAAGGCAAUUUUGAGGAAGCCCAUCAUUGGAAUAUACAAGCCAAGUUAUAUAAUGAAAAUUUCCCACUAGCUAUAUGGUGGUGACAAAACGAGAGACUCUCAAUCAUGAAGAUCAUGGUGCUUAAUAAGCACACGUGUGGAAAGAUAGUAGCAUUGUCCCUUCUCUCUUUUUUCUCAUUUUUUGGUGGGCUCUUUGGCCUCUUUUUUUAUUUUUUAUUUUUUAUUUUUAUUUUUGUGGGCUUCUUUGGCCUCCUUUUAUAAAUGAGCUUCGCUGGCCUCUUUUAUUUCCUCACAUGGGACAAUGCUCCAUCAAUGAUGAUCAUCACACUUACAACUCAAAACUUAGAGCAAUGAGGGCUCUAUAUGGAAUGCCUUCGGUAGUGUACCGUGACAAUGAUCUAGCAUGGCAUAGACAUCAAUGGAAACAUCAUGCUAGCUAUCUUAUGAUCAUGCAAUGGCAAUGUAGAAGCUGUGGCACAUGUCAUGGUGGUAGUUGCAUGGCAAUAUAUCUCGGGGUGGCUUUGAAAAAGCCAUAGUAGGUAGGUAUGGUGGCUGUUUUGAGGGAGGCUAAUGGUGGUUUUAUGCACCGGCGAAAGUUGCACGACACUAAAGAAGAUAGUGAUGGUGGAAGGUGAAAGUGCAUCUAAACCAUGGACUCGACAUUAGUCAUGAAGAACUUAUAUACUUGUUGCAAAAGUUUUAGUAGUAAUCGAAACAAAGCAUUCAACGCAUACUCCUAGGGGAAGGGUUGGUAGGUAUAAACCAUCGCGUGUUCCCGACCGCUACACAAAGGAUGACAAUCAAUAAACUAAUCAUGCUCAGACUUCAUCACAUCGCGGUUCACCAUACAUGCAUGCUACGAGAAUCACUAACUUCAACACAAGUAUUUCUAGAUCCACAACACCUUACUAGUAUAACUUCAAUAUUACCACAACCACAACUCAAAACUAAGUGAGAUGAAUCAAACUUCUCUAACUACUCAAUGCACAUGAAUAUCCAGUCCACUAAAUGCUAGGCGUAAUGAGGAUAAGGGCCUCCAAAAAACUUCUUUUCGUUCUAUGAACUUUAAGGUGUAUGAAGUCUCAUAGUUAACUCUUGCAGUGGAACGAUAGAGACUCCAUUUCACUUAGGUUGAUUCAAUUUAGACCAGAGGCAGACCUAAGUCAAGGUAAUCUUCCUUUGAAUAGUAUAUAUGUAGAAUGUGUAUAAGAAAUAUCAAUAUUAUCCCAACAAUCCCUAUUCUGGUGUGGUAUGUCUAGUGCGCAUCUAGAUGUGAUAUAGUUAUUGCAUAUCUAAAUGACUAAAUCAAGCAUAAAAAGAAAAAGAAAAAGAAAAUAACCACAUGAAUCUUCAGGUAAGAUCAAUGAUAUAUGAUUUAGAUGUGCAAUGCUUAUCUCACAUCUAGAUGCGUUUCAGCAAAAUCAAUUUUGGUGUACUAGUUUGGAGAAUUAAACAUCAUCAAACUUGAUAACUCACGGUUGUCUAGAAUUUUAAUAAACAGUUUUGUUAAGUCUCAGUCGACUAAAACUUCGUUAUGUCUCAAUCUAAUCCAUUGAUCUUACAUGGAGAUUUGGGCAAAUGAUUUCUUUUCAAAAAAAACUUCUUACAUACUACUCCGUAUAUUAUUCGACUCAGUCAACUGAGACCUAGUCACACCCUUUCAGAAAUUUUAGUCACCUAAAUUUGCCUCGCACAUUGCCAAGAAGUGCACUAUUAAUUCACUGCCCACAAGAUACCUUUUGUUGAAGGUCGUCGCGGGCGCCCCUUUGUUUAAUUAUAGCGAGAUGCAAAUCUCCCCUGGCGGCAGCGUCUAGGGUUUAUCUCCCCUGGCGGCAACGUCUAGGCUUUAUCCCGAUUGGAGUCCGACUCCAACUCCCCCUCGGUGCGAUUGAAGGCCAUCCAUAUAGACGCACCGGAUCGGGCAGAUCAUACCCUGUGCUAGGGUUGGUAUCGCUGGCUAUGGCGACUUCGGGCUCGAAAUCGUCGGCUAAUAACACGACCAUGGCGGACAAGUCGAUGGGGGUGGAUGAUCUGAUAGGGAAGCUAAACCUGCAAGGGAGAGAGAGGAGGAUGAUCUCAAUUUUGAUGAGGAAUUUCCAGAUGAGACCGGGGAAGCGGAGUUCAUGGUGAUUGCCAAAGUACACACCGAUAAACCCUUCUCCAGGGGGGCUUUCUAUGAGAGUAUGCGCAUGGCGUGGAGCUUGGCACAGGGUGCUACUUUCAGCGCAUUGGGCGAAAAUCUCUUCUCGAUCACGGUAAACUGUCUGGGUGAUUGGAAGAGAAUUACUGAAGAAGGACCUUGGCUCUUCCGGGAUCAUGGGGUUUUGAUCGAAUCAUACGAUGGCUUCACGAAAUUUGAUGAGGUGGCUCUCGAUAAACUGGCAGUUUGGAUCCAGAUAGUUGAUCUCCCUCCAAUGUAUAGGAAGGAGCAGGUGGUUCGAUCUCUCACCAGAAAAGUUGGGGAGGUGUCGAGCGUCAUGUUAAACCCUAGAUGGGGCAACGACAGGAUUGUCAGGGUCCGGGUCAGGUUGGAUGUGAACGAACCACUGAUGAGGUUUGUCUCUAUAACUAAAAACCAGCGGAAAGUGUAUUACUCCAUCCUCUAUGAGAAGAUGUCGGUGUUUUGUUACGUGUGUGGACAUAUGGGGCAUACUUUCUUGGAGCAUGGUAAUGGGAAGCAUAAUAAAGAUUCCAUGGCAUGGGGUGACUGGAUUCUCGCCCCUCGAUCGGGAGGCCAAUCUCAAGGGCCUAGACAGAAUACUACUGCGGGACAUAAACCUAAUCCCCAGGGUAGAGCUGAGAGUGGGAAGCCCUCGGUGAAAGAGCUACAGGAUGACGCCAAUAGUCCUCUUAAAGCUGGAGAUGGGAACAAGCAUGAAGGCGAGAAAUCCCACAAGAGAUUAACGUAUGAGGAGCCGGCCACAGAACCUAGUAGCUCAAAGCUACCUCUUCUCGUGGAGGCCGCGGCUGUGGGAAUAAUACCGAUGGAGAACUUUGGACCUAACCCUGUUGCAUAUGGGGGGGAGGAGGACGAUGUGUCUUCACAAGACUCAAAGCGAUCAAAGACAAGCUGCAAUACUGUCAUGGAUGUUAGUCAUCAGAUAUCGGCGAGCUCCGAGAAGGAGCUCGAUCGGACGCAAUGAAACUGUUAUGCUAGAACUGACGUUGGUUGCGGAAGCCUGCGGCAGUGCGUGCGCUUGUGGGGAUCCACGGGCGAGCAAGACCAGAUGUGCUUUUCCUGUCUGAGGCACAUCUGAAUAAAGCUAAGGCAGGGAAGCUGAUGAGAUGCUUAUGGUUUGAUCAAAUGGCUGUCUCGGAGAGCGACAGGUGAAGUGAUGGUUUAGUGAUGCUCUGGCAUACUAACUUGGGAGUCACGUCGAUGGAAGUACAUACAAACUUCAUCGAUAUUCGGAUCAAUGAACAUAAUCCGGAUGGUUGGUGUUUCAUGGGGCUGUAUGGCGAACCCAGCGGAGAAAGAAAACACCUUAUUUGGGACUACCUACGACAUCUACAUGCGAUGAUAAGUCUCCCUUGGCUCAUCGCGGGUGAUUUCAAUGAAAUUCUGCACAAUAAUGAGAAGGAAGGAGGUACCUCACGACCGCUAUGGUGUCUCCGUGGGUUCAGCGAUGCACUGACCGACUGCGGGCUGGAUGAUCUAGGCUAUGCGGGUGACAUUUUUACUUGGCACCGUGGAAAUAUCCGUGAGCGCCUGGAUCGAGAAGUGAGCAAUGUGAGGUGGGCGGAUAUGUUCCCGGAUUACGGUGUUUCAAAUGAGGAUUAUGACAAAUCAGAUCAUCGUCCUAUUCUCAUUAACACGGAACACAACACGAUAUUACAGCAGAGGACGAGACCUGGUACUCUCAAGUUCGAGGCACGAUGGCUAGUAGAGGAAAAUGUGGAGACCAUAGUCCAAGCGGCAUGGAACAAUAGGAAGGACGAAUGCCUGGGUCCGUAGGCAGACAUAGUUGCUGGGGUGCUCGCUGACCUCCAUCGAUGGGAUAAGGAAACACUAAAGGGACCAAGGGCGAAGUUACGAAACUGCAAGCUGAGCUUAAUUCUGUGCUUUCGGGACCUUUAACUGAUGAGGCAAUAAUCCAACAGCAUAAGCUCCACAUUGAGAUCUAGGAGAUGCUCGAGAAGGAGGAGCUUUAUUGUAUGCAAAGGGGUAGAGCCGACUGGCUUGCAAAAGGAGACCAGAACACAUGGUUUUUUCACCGAGCAGCUAAUGGUAGGAAGAAGUGGAACUCGAUCGUGAAAAUCAGAGGUUCUAAUGGCGACUGGGUGGAUGACUCGAUGACAUACAUGAGCAUAUCUCGGCGUAUUUAUCCACUCUCUUUACCACUGAAUUACAGGGGAAUGACGGCGGUCUAAUUCAGAAAGUAGUUCCAAGGGUUACAGCAGAGAUGAAUGCUGAUCUUAAUAAACCCUAUACCAGGGAAGAAGUGAAGAAAGCCCUGUACAGUAUAGGUGAUUUCAAAGCCCCGGGACCUAAUGGACUCCAUGCGGUGUUCUAUAAGAGGUUUUGGCACAUUAUUAGAGAUGGCUUGGUGGAUGAGGUAUUAGAAGCUAUACAUAACAAGAAAAUCCCAGUUAGUCCUUAUACCCAAGGUGGAAAAUCCAGAAUAUGUAACACAAUUCAGACCUAUUAGUCUCUGCAAUGUCUUAUACAAAGUUAUCUCCAAAGUCCUGGCGGGGAGACUGAAAUUUGUAUUGUCUAAUAUCAUAUCUCCCAACCAGAGCGCCUUUGUUCCUGGACGACUAAUUACGGAUAACUUCCUCGUGGCUUUUGAAUCAUACCAUGCAAUCAAGAGGAAAAACUCCGGUUAUGGAACAUGUGCGGUUAAGCUGGAUAUGCACAAGGCAUAUGACCGGGUAGAGUGGUCUUUUCUCGAGAAGAUGAUGAUCAAACUAGGGUUUUCAGCCGAAUGGGUGGCCCUCAUCAUGGAAUGCAUAUCCUCCGUGCAGCAUCAAGUUCGUAUCAAUAACGAGUUCUCAGAAUCUUUCACACCAACAAGGGGCCUCCGUCAGGGUGAUCCGCUGUCGCCCUGCUUGUUCCUUAUUUGUGCAGAAGGUUUGUCAAGCCUGUUAGCGUUCGAAGAGACGACAGGAAAUAUCACUCGGAUAAAAGUGUGCCGAGAUGCUCCCUCAGUCUCCCAUCUUCUUUUUGCUGAUGAUUCUCUCAUUUUGAUGCGUGCGGACCAAGGAAAUGCAGCAAGCCUCCGACAAUCCCUAGAUGAAUAUUGCUUGGCUUCGGGCCAGCAAAUCAGUGAGGCUAAGUCUGCAAUUUUAUUCAGUCCAUGCACACCUGUUCAAGCUAGAGCGGAGAUUUGUACCACCCUGAAUAUCAUGGCCGAAGCCCUCUCAGAAAAAUACCUUGGGCUGCCACCAAUUGUCGGGGUAGACCGAUCUGAUUGCUUCCAACAUCUAGUUGAAAGAGUAUUGAGCAGAAUAAGAGGAUGGAAAGCAAAGCUUCUGAAAGGACGUCGAUGUCGCCUAGAGGGGGGGGGGUGAAUAGGCGCUUUAAAAUAAUUACGGUUUAGGCUUGAACAAAUGCGGAAUAAAACUAACGUUUAAUUUGUCAAGCACAAAACCUACAACAACUAGGCUCACCUAUGUGCACCAACAACUUAUGCUAAGCAAGAUAAACAACUAAGUGAUAGCAAGAUAUAUGACAAUAAACAAUAUGGCUAUCACAAAGUAAAGUGCAUAAGUAAAGGGUUCCGGUAAGAGAUAACCGAGGCACGCAGAGACGAUGAUGUAUCCCUAAGUUCACACCCUUGCGGAUGCUAAUCUCUGUUGGAGCGGUGUGGCGGCACAAUGCUCCCCAAGAUGCCACUAAGGCCACCGUAAUCUCCUCAAGCUCUCGCACAAUGCAAGAUGUCGUGAUUCCACUAAGGGACCCUUGAGGGCGGUCACCGAACCCGUACAAAUGGCAAACCUUGGGGGCGGUCACCGAUACCCGUACAAAUUGCUCGGGGCAAUCUCCACAACCUAACUGGAGACCCCGACGCUUGCCCGGAGCUUUACACCACAAUGAUUGAGCUUCGACACACCACCAAGCUUCUAGGACGCCAAAGCAUCCAUGAAGAACAAUAUCUAGGGUACUAAGUACCAAAGGUAAUAAGCUUCUCAAACUUCACUUCCACGUAUCACCGUGGAGAACUCAAACGAUGCAACUAAUGCAAUGGCAAGGGCGCACGGAGUGCCCAAGUUCUUCCCUCCCAAAUCCCACCAAAGCAACUAAUGCUAGGGAGAAAAAUGAGAGGAAGAACGAAGAAGAACACGAAGAACUCCAAGAACUAGACCCAAGGGGUUCCCCUCACUUAGAGGAGAAAGUGAUUGGUGGAAAUGUGGAUCUAGAUCUCCUCUCUCUUUUUCCCUCAAGAACUAGCAAGAAUCAUUGGAGGGAUUGAGAGUUAGCAAGCUCGAAGAAGGUCAACAAUGGGGGAAGAACACAAGCUAAAGAGAUAAGGUUCAAUGAGGAAGAAGACGCCCUUUUAUAGGUGGGGAAAAAUCCAACCGUUAAGCCUCAGAGCCCGCACAGAGCGGUACUACCGCUCGGUAGGUUCACCAACCAUGAUGAGGCCAAAAAGUAUGCAAAAAACAGUCCGACGGAGCGGUACUACCUCUCCUGGAGCGGUAGUAAAAAAUCACUACCGCUCCGGGGGUGGUACUACCGCUACACGAGUGGUACUACCGCUCGCACGAGGAGCGGUACUACCGCUGUAUACUGAAACUGCUGUCAUACGGACUCCGAAUUCAACGAAACCAAGUUUGUUGGAAAGCUAAUGACAUGGGCUAACACAAUAUUGACAGAAAUAUCAAUAAGAAGCAAGUGAUAAAAGUCCCAUAAGAAAAAUGGUGAGAACCCUUCUUCGAGUAAGACCGGUAAAAACUCCCAACAUCGAAAACAUCAUAGAAGAUGCAUAUGGACUCCGUUUUCGAUGAACUCAAGCCUCUCAUGAAGAUGAACAUAAGCUCUAAAACUCACAAAGAGAAACACCAAACAAGAACCAAGAAGUAUGAUGCAAGGAUGCAAAUGGUUUGAGCUCUCAACGAACGAUACGAUCAAGCUACUCACUUGAGAGCCCCCCUUGACAGUAUGACAAUCUAUCCUAAAACAGAAAACCUAUCAAGGGCAAACCUAUACCUUGCACCUCGUCCUCUUGAGCUAGAUGAUGAUGAUCUUGGCUUCCUCAAGAUGGACCACCUUUCUUGAUUGCGUUGGCUUGAUGAAGACUAGUUGAUUGCUCCCCCAUACACACUAUGGGUGAGCCGCUCUUCAGCAUAUCUUCACAAGUCCAUUGCCACCACAAUGGAUGGCAAGAAUCAAGCAUGAUAUAUUCGUGCUGAUCCACUUGAACUUGCACACCGCAAUCUUGAUGACGAUCACCACUUGACGUCAUCCUUCAUGGGUUGUAUGAAAUCUUCCUUUUGACGCAAGCCCAUGGAAGCACACCUAACCCCCACAUAGAACUCUCACAAAGACCAUGGGUUAGUACACAAACACGUAAUGGACAAUGCUUACCAUACCAUGGGAUCACUUGAUCCCUCUCGAUACAUCUUGUACGCUUUGUGUGUUGAUCAUCUUGAUUUACUCUUUGUCUGAGAUCUUGAUCAACCUUGUGUCUCUAUGACCAUUCUUUGGAUAAUACCUUGAAUACCAUCUUGGUCAUCAUAUAAACUCCUUGAACCCAACAGAUGGACUUCAAGAAGUGCCUAUGGACAAAUCCUACAAAUAUAACUUAAGGCAACCAUUAGUCCAUAGGAAUUGUCAUCAAUUACCAAAACCACAUAUGGAGAUAUAUGCUCUAGCAGCUUCUCUCUGUGGGGGGAAAAGAGAUACUGCUCAAAGCGGUAAUACAAGCUAUUCCAUCAUAUGCUAUGUCAGUCUUCAAACUGCCGAAGGAGAUAUGUAAUGAUAUUAAUUCGGCAAUGUCAAAAUACUGGUGGGGUGAUGACGACCAUAAGAAACAUAUGCACUGACUUGCAUGGUGGAAGAUGUGUGUGCCGAAAGAAAAGGGAGGCAUGGGUUUCAGGGACAUCCAUUGCUUUAACCUAGCUCUCCUAGCAAAACAGUCUUGGAGACUCCUAAGCUUCCCGGAAUCAUUAUGUGCAAGAGUGCUUCGCGCUAAGUACUAUCCUGACGGUGAUCUUCUGAACUGUUCUCUGAAGAAAGGAAGUUCAUAUACAUGGCAGAGUCUGUGGAGUGGCCUGCAAACGUUCAGAAAAGGCAUCAUAUGGCGAGUGGGAGAUGGUGUUUCCAUUAACAUCUGGGAAGAUCCGUGGAUACCAAGCAGCCCAAGCAAGAAGCUUAUGACGCCAUGGAACAAUAUAGUCCUUACUAAAGUCUCCGAACUUAUAGAUGGAGACAGCAGAACGUGGGAUGAGGAGCUUAUAAAUGAUCUUUUCUGGCCGAUGGAUGCACACCGCAUUCUAAAUAUCCCAUUGGCUUUGGGGAUGAUGAACGACUUCGUAUCUUGGCAUCUUGACAAGCGCGGCAUAUUCUCUGUUCGAUCGGCGUAUCAUCAAGAAUGGGACACCCAACAUGGGCGAAAGUUGAGGAGGACAAACACAAACCAUUCCUCAGGUAAUAACCCUAUUUGGAUAACCAUUUGGAAACUUCGGCUACCUGCAAAGAUAAAAAUCCACUUGUGGAAAUCCCUACUGGGUGCAAUACCCUGCUACGGCGUUCUGGCGAAUCGACACAUCAUGACUAGUUCCCAGUGCCCGUUGUGCACAAUGGAUUGUGAGAGUAUUAAACACGUUUUCUUCCAAUGCUCGAGAGUGCAGGAAAUCUGGAGGGUUUUGGGACUCUCGAGUUUGGUGAAACAAAUUUGCUCCCUGGAGCAAGAUGGGAGUGGCGCUCUAUCUGAAAUGCUCCUAUCUAAGAGCACAAUCAAGUCGCACAUAUCGGACGUGGGCCGUGGUGAACUGAUCGCAACGACAGUCUGGUAUGUUUGGUGGGAAAGAAGGAGUUUCACUCAUGGCGAGCAAAUCUCUGAACCCCCCAGAUCGGCGCAUGCAAUAUCAGUUCUUGCAAAGAACUUUGUCAGGGCGAGGAAUAAGCAACGAGGUGUUAUUCGGCACGGGUGGCAGCGGCCGCCUGAGGGUCUCUACAAGCUCAAUGUCGAUGCUGGCUUCUCUGGUGACUCGGGGACGGGUAGCACAGGCGCUGUGCUGCGCAAUGACAGAGGAGUCUUCAUCGCCGGCUCGUGUAGUGCUAUUUCCUUUGCCGAAGAUGCCAGUUCAGCCGAAGCAAGAGCUCUUAGAGAUGGACUUAUCCUGGCUAGCGAGGUGGGUGUGCAAAAAAUCGUAGUCGAGUCCGAUUGCCAAGAGGUGAUCGACACCAUGUUGCUCGACGGCAAUUCGCUUGGACCGGCAGCUGCAGUUUACGAAGAGUGUUCCUUUUUUGCAAAGAACUUUAGCUUUAUUCAGUUUGUCUUCUGCCCCACGAAAGCAAACAUGGUCGCACAUACCCUAGCUAGAUUUGCUGAACGCACUAGAACUAUAAAGUGGAUGGAGGAGCCUCCUGGCUUUCUCAUAGAUACUCUAGCGAAUGAUGUAACUAUUCUUUCACAUGAAAUAUUCAAAAAAAAAAUUCACUGCCCACAAUGUUAGCAACACCUAGCAGCACUUUUGAACGGAAAUUAGUAGGAUGAUUGAUGAUCCAAGCUGCAAUGACUAACAAGUAUGCUCCACUGUUGCCCUAAAAAAAACACGAGUGCGUUUUCUUUGUCGGUUUUUGCCAUGCAUGACAGGCAGGAGAAACUAACCGCCAGGGAGGGAGACCAGCAGCUGACCGUCUGAAACCGAAGGCAUUCUGGGCCGAACACUUCGCAACCUCCUCAACUCCCUCUCGCCCCUCCCCCUUUUAGCUUCCCUCCCUCCCUCCCUNNNNNNNNNNNNNNNNNNNNNNNNNNNNNNNNNNNNNNNNNNNNNNNNNNNNNNNNNNNNNNNNNNNNNNNNNNNNNNNNNNNNNNNNNNNNNNNNNNNNNNNNNNNNNNNNNNNNNNNNNNNNNNNNNNNNNNNNNNNNNNNNNNNNNNNNNNNNNNNNNNNNNNNNNNNNNNNNNNNNNNNNNNNNNNNNNNNNNNNNNNNNNNNNNNNNNNNNNNNCCCUCCCUCCCUGCCUCCCCGGCCACCCCCCACACGGACGGCACGCCCACGCCCCGCCCUCGGCCUCCCCCUCCCUCCACCACGAGCGCGGGCGCCAUGAAGAAGAGACACACCCCGGCGACCCUCGGCGGCGGCGUCCGCUGCGCCGCGCUGCUCCUCGCGGCGCUGGUCAUGUCCGGCGACGUCGCCGGCGCCGCCUCCUUCAACUACAAGGACGCGCUCACCAAGUCGAUCAUGUUCCUCGAGGCGCAGCGGUCCGGGAAGCUGCCGCCCGACAACCGCAUCAAGUGGCGCGGCGACUCCGGCAUGGAGGAUGGCAAGCUCGCCCAUGUACGUGUUGCGGGCCGGCGUUAUCGCCGCCGUUGAUCUUGCAUGCAUGCUCCCCGGCCCGCUUAAUUUCUUUCCUUCGCUUUUCAUAUCAUAUCUGCAUGCAUCCAUGAGCUUCUUGGUUUGGUCGAUCACGUCCUUCGCGUUCCUGUCAGCAUCAUGCAUGAUCGAAUUUCUCGAUCGGUUUGGUCGCGUCCAUGUUGAAUGCAAGCGUGCGUAUGUUAAAUGGGUGGAGCGUUCAUGGCGUACGUUAUGAGAUCACCAUGCGUGAUUCACGCACAUAUAACUGCUAAUUAGCGUCGAUCGGCCAUUCGCAUUUGCAUCAUACAGUACGACAUGAAUCACGCCCGUUGAUCUCUUUUUGAGCUAAAUACAUUGAUGGAACGUCGCCUGGCCAACAUGCAUUUCAAGCAGAGCUUGUGCAUGCAUGAAUGACGAAACCGUUGUCAUUAAUUGGAUGGUUCAGGUUGAUCUGACCGGCGGGUACUACGACGCCGGCGACAACGUGAAGUACGGCCUGCCGCUGGCGUUCACGGUGACGACGCUGGCGUGGGCGGCGCUGGCGUUCAAGCCGGAGCUGCAGGCGGCGGGGGAGCUGAAGCACGUGCAGGAGGCCAUCCGGUGGGGCACCGACUACUUCCUCAAGUGCGCCACCAAGAAGAACCACAUGUGGGUGCAGGUGGGCGACCCCAACCUAGACCACCAGUGCUGGGUCCGCCCCGAGAACAUGCCCACCCCCCGCACCCUCUACCAGAUCGACGACAAGACCCCCGGCACCGAGAUCGCCGCCGAGACCGCCGCCGCCCUCGCCGCCUCCGCCAUGGUCUUCCGCAACGACAAGAACUACGCCCGCCGCCUCCUCAACAAGGCCAAGCUGCUCUACGACUUCGCCAGGACCCACCUCAAGACCUACGACGGCGAGUGCCCCUUCUACUGCUCCUACUCGGGCUACAACGACGAGCUGCUCUGGGCGGCGACCUGGCUCUUCCUCGCCACCAAGCGCCAGGUCUACGCCGACUUCAUCUCCCACGAGGCCAUCUCCUCCAGCGUCGCCGAGUUCAGCUGGGACCUCAAGUACCCCGGCGCGCAGAUCCUCCUCGCCGAGCACAACAUGACGGCCAGCGGCGGCAUGCAGAGCUACAAGACGCAGGCCGACAACUUCGUCUGCGCCGUCCUACCCGACACCCCCUUCCACCAGGUCUUCAUCACCCCGGGCGGCAUGAUCCACCUCCGCGACGGCGCCAACUCGCAGUACGUCACCGGCACCGCCUUCCUCUUCGUCGUCUACGCCGACUGGCUCCACACAGCCGGCCAGAACGUCAUGUGCGGCGCCACGCCCAUCAAGCCGGACAGGCUCAGGGAGUUCGCCAAGCAGCAGAUGGACUACCUCCUGGGGGCCAACCCGAGGGGGAGGUCCUACGUCGUCGGCUUCGGGGCCAACCCGCCCACGCAGCCGCACCACCGCGGCGCAUCCACGCCGGUGCUCAAGCCCGGGACGGUGGUCAACUGUGGCAUGAGCUUCGGCGACUGGUUCGCGCCGGACAGGCCCAACCCGAACGAGCUCACGGGGGCCAUCAUGGGCGGGCCAGACGGCGCCGACAACUUCAUAGACAAGCGAAACGCGUCGGCGUGCACCGAGCCCUGCACCUACAUCAACUCCCUCGCCAUCGGCGCGCUCGCCGCGCUCGCCGGACGCGGCCCCAACCUCGUCGCCUCCCACUGAUACCAUGAGACGUAUCCAUGGGUUGAUUCGUUGAGCCGGCCCGUCGAUCCAUGCCACACAACCCACAUGCUCGAGUAGCAUCUUGCAUGCAUGCGAACUCGCGUCAUGUUGGCUCCUCGAUCGAAUAGUUUCUUUCCCACUCUCGCUUUGUCUCUGCUUCUUCAGUUUAAUUUUAGGACAGUGCCUUCUUGAUUAAUUAAUUGAGUUUUUUUAUAUUUAAUUCGUACUUUAAGAUCAGUUGAUGUGUAUGUGUCCGUUAUUAGUACUUAAUCAAGGAGUAUGUCGCAUUAUUCAGACUAAAUGAGUACUUUCAGUUGUUUACAUGUUUGGCUAAUUCUGGGUUGCCUUGUAAAAAUCUUUAGAUUCAGUGAUUCACUAAGCCCUCUUGGAUUGGAGCUGUGAGCCCCUUUCCAGUGCUAAGGAUGCCACGUCGUCAAGAAAGUGAUGUAAGAAAACAAUUAAAAAGGAGAGAACAUUAUGGUGACAAAAAAAGGAUACUAAACACGUAAACCUAUGUAAAAUGACUACUAACCAAUGCAUACAAAAAUUUAAUUAUUGAACAAUUUCAUGAGGGAAGCUUAGCAACAAAAACUAAGCAUCUAUGUUGAAAAAACUACUCCCUCUGUAUCAGUUUACACGGCAUGUGCGUGGUUUUGGGUCAUUGGUUUGACUAAUUAUACAUUAUAUGUCAUAAAAAUAUAUCAUUGAAUUCUUAAGUGGAUAUAGUUUUUAAAUAUAUAUUUAUCGUCACAUAUGAUGUAUAUUUAGUUAGUUAAAUCAAUGAUCUAGAAUCACGUGUUUGCCCUAUAAACUGAGACGGGAAAGUAGUUGCUAAGGUUUUUAAUACACUUAGCCCCUCAUCUAAGCACUGAUGCACUGAAAAAAAAGGAAAACUCUAUUGCUCAACCGGCUGAUGCACGUGAAUCAUCCGCCGCUUGCUUAGCCGUCGGAUUGGUCUUAAUCGAGUGCUCGUCGCUGACGACAAGUCUCGUGCAGUCAGUUUUCCUUUCAUGCAACAAGAGUAUUGUUUCAGAAGGUUUCUGCAACACAUGUACUGUUUCAGAAAAAAGUUUGGUCGUGAAGUUUUUUUCAGCAAUUGGCUAGUUUCAAAAGAUUUCCGCAACACAGUAUUUUUUUAAAAAGAAAAAAGGGUUCAACAAUGAAUAUAUUUUUCUUCCGCAAUAAGGGUCUUGUUUCAGAAACAUAACUCAGCUUGAAGAAAGUGUCGGAGGAGUGCUCGGUGUGAGAACGUGCAAGGUAAAGUUUUUGGGAACAUGACCUUCGUUGGAAAAAAAAAUCUUCCGCAACAGUACAUAUGUUCCAAAAAGACGAACAAUUUUUUUCUACAACCUCACAUAUGUUGUAAAAGUUUUUUGCAACAUGACAUUUGUUGCAAAGAUUUUUACGGCACGACCUCUGAUGCAAAGAUUUUUACAGGGCAACGAGCUCGUUUCUGCAACUGGACCAUUGCUUCAGGAAUUAAUUGGUCAGAGGAGGCGAUCAAAUCGCAUGCCAGCAAAUAAAUCGAACGACUGAUUUUUACGGAGCGGCCUCUGAUGCAAAGAUUUUUGCAGGGCAAUGAGCUCGUUUCUGCAACUGGACCGUUGCUUCAGGAAUUAAUUGGUCAGAAGAGGCAAUCAAACCGCAUGCCAGCAAAUAAAUCGAACGGCUGUGAGCGUGUACAUCGAACGGCUAUUUCGGUGAUCGAUGUUUAGUAUGGAUCCAUCGGUAGACGACUAGCAGCUCCUAUUGAAAAAGGCCUGAGGAUUUUAUCAUGCCUAUCGAUUUUCAUGUCUGCUUUGAUUUUGACUCGGUCGUGCGUUGGGAGCAUGGUAUCCAAAUGUCUGCCCCAAUAUGGCAAUAUGAUACCCUCCUUUUCUUUAAUGAUGAAAAUUGUCCAAAAUAUAUAAACUUUCUUUGGUUUGUAAAUUAUUAGAUUUAUAUAUAAUUCGCCCGGUUUAAAAUGUAUGCAGAUUGCUUUGAAUGUUGGUCUUCUGUAUGCGAUGUUUAAUUUACAGGUCAUUAUUGAGGAUGCUUUAAGAUAGUUGUGCAUAGGCUAAUAUAACUGCUCAACAAUAUGGGUGCAAAGACUGUUAACACACAACGCUGGUAGGCAGUGUAGCCAAGAAAACUGGAUAUCUUUAUAUAACUUCUUAUUAAUAUCUGGUUACAUGGGCAACAUUACUAUGAAUCACACUAAAAUAAUCAAAUAUUUUGACCCAUAAAACUACAAUACCAAAUUACUAAUCUUUUAUGCAUACUCCAUCCGACUCAAAAAUAACUGUUGUGACAAAAAUAAGUGUCGUGAGUAUACAAAAAUCAAAUACAUUGUCCUACGAAACUUGCGGUACCAAUUUACCAAUCCUCUUUUUUGGGACCAAUCCUUGUUUUCAAAGACUCGAUCAGAACUACCGCUAGCUUCAGUCUGUUGGACAAAUUCAGGUUGUCGACGUACGACCUAGCUAUCUAGUGCAGGCCUUGAAGCAGGCCUUGGUGCCUCUCCACGUCGCCGCCCAACUCUCCGUACUUGAGCCGCAUGAAGACCUGCAGCGCGUGCACGCCGGCGGCAGCCGCGAGGCAAGGGCUCCCCAAGGGAGACUGGAAGCCGAGGUGAGCGGUGAUGCGCUCCAGCCCCAACGGCAUGGCCGGGCAGUCGGCCGCCAUCCUCGCGACGUCGUAGACCUGGUCGCCGAGGUAACUCCGCACGGCGUCGACGAACCCCGCCAUGUCCUCCGGCAGCGGGGCGCCGCCGGUGAGGAGCUUGAGGAGGUAAGAAACGUGGUAGGCCCCGGCGUAGACGAUCCACGAUCGCCCACCCCGAGCGUCCAACAGGCCGGAACACAGCAGCGCCUCUCUGAGCAUCUUGGCGCUGAGGCCGCGGACACGGAGCUCGUCGACGUUGAGACCGCGGUCGUCGAGGUACUUGAGGGAGUUGCCGUCGCACGGGUCGGCCAGCCGGCAGAAAUCACGGAGAUUGAACUCCCACGCGCCGAGGUGCCGGCCGUCGGCGUCGCGGAGGGCGACGCCCACCUGGAGCGGCUUGAGGGUGUCCACGUUGGCCUUGACGACGGAGUAGCGCUCCUCCACGGUGAGGACGUUGUGGUCCUUUCCGGCGUGGUGGUGGACGAGGCCCGGGUACUGCACGUUCACGGCGACGUACCUGGCGUUCCAGGCCAUGCGGCGGAGGUUGUGAGAUUCGUCCCUGAAGUUGGACGCCCACACGGAGCACACUACCGGCACCGGAGCUGCAUUGUGGAAGUAGAACGGCGGCGGGGGCGCGGGGAACGUGUGGUAGCUGAAAGGCAUCUCCGGCGGCGGUGGCGGCGGAAACAUGGGGAACAUGCCGGCGGCUGGGUUCAUGCAGAUCGAUCGAUCGAUGCUUCCACGAGCCGGGUGCUGAGCUGAGGAGUUCCCUUUACAUAUAUAUAACACAAAGAAGAUGCAGAGGGGUUGGAUCGGCGGAGUCGUAGCCGGAGUCGGAGACGGAACACGAAUUGGCCGGUGAUUCGGGGAAGGUAGCAGGUCGCGUCAAUGGCCGAUCCUACUCUGGGACUGGGUACAGCUCGGAGAAUCCUACGGCGUGACGCUUGGCGCGGCUGUGAUCUCAGUGCCAGUACCAGCGCCCCCGCGCGAUGCCAUCGGCCCUUUGUUGAAGCCGUAGAUCAACUAGGCAUAGAUAAAUCCGGAGUUACCAUUGUACUCACCUAAUCCCGAGCCCGAGGAACUCCCUGUUCCGGCCAUCGGUGCCGGUGUAGUCGUCGGUGACGUGAGGGAAGAGGUGUGGUCGUGGGUAGUGCUUUCCGUGAGCACUACGCUAACCCUAGAUCGGUAGGGGAUUUAUGUGGGGAGUCUGGCGGCGCGGUGAACCUCGUACCGUGCGCCCCGGCCCCCACCACUUUAUUUAUAGCGCAGGUCACAGGGGCCCACCAACCAUAACGGGUUGGGCGCCCCCGAUCAGGGCGCAUAGAUCAAGGGCCCGGUGGGCCGUUGGGCCCACGCGGAAGAGAUCAACCUAACAUUCUCCCCCUUGAUCUCAACUUUCACUUUGACUUUAUACUUUUAUUUGUUCCAUCAUAUAUAGGCGUGUAGAGCAUGUCUCAUCGUCACAGCUUAAUUGCCGAUAGAAUCAUACAACCAUAACACACCUUUUGUUUUGAAACAAAUCCAUUUACUUCUGGGCCUCUUAUUAUCCAGGAAUCAUAGGCUUUCCAUCAAACCCAUGCCGGCUAAGUGUUCCUUGAACACACUGGGUGGUAGGCCUUUCGUUAGCGGAUCCGCAAGCAUAUACUUCGUACUUAUAUGCUCGAGACUUAUAGUUUGAUCCUGGAUUUUAUCUUUCACAACAUAAUACUUUAUAUCUAUUGUCUUGGCAGCAUUGCUGGACUUGUUGUUGUGAGCAUAGAAUACUGCGGGCUGGUUGUUGCAGUAUAUCUUUAGUGGCUUGUGGAUACAAUCUACCACUUUCAAGUCGGGUAUAAAUUUCUUUAGCCAUAUCACCUGUCCGGUGGCUUUAAAACAUGCUAUGAACUCUGCUUGCAUCGUAGACGAUGCAACUAUGGUCUGUUUAGAGCUUUUCCAUAAAAUAGCCCCCCCUGCGAGAGUGAACACGUCCCCAGACGUGGAUUUUCUAUCAUCUCUAUCUCCCGCAAAAUCGGCGUCUGAGUACCCUUUUAUCUCUAGGGAAUCAGAUCGCCUAUAUGUCAGCAUGAUUUCCUUUGUGCCUUGCACAUAACGCAAAGCUUUCUUUGCCAUCUUCUAGUGCUCUUGGCCUGGAUUUGCUUGAUAUCUACCGAGUACUCCGAUGAUAAAAUCUAAGUCAGGGCGUGUGCACACUUGUGCGUACUGUAAACUUCCAACAGCCGAAGUAUACGGUACUGUUUUCAUUUCAUUGAGCUCGUACUGAUUCUUGGGACAUUGAUUUUCCCAAAACUAUCGCCCUUGACUAUGGGAGCAGGUGUGGCUUUGCUCUUAUGCAUAUUAUACUUUUGGAGAACUUUCUCUAAAUAUGCUUUCUGUGAGAGUCCUAAGACUCCAUUCUUCCUGUCUCGGUGAAUUUCAAUGCCCAAAACAUAUGAAGCUUCACCAAGGUCUUUCAUGUCGAAGUGUGAGGAUAAAAACUUCUUUGUCUCUUGUAGUAGACCAAUACCAUUGCUUGCAAGCAAGAUAUCAUCCACAUACAAGAUUAGGAAAAUAUAUUUCCCAUGUUUAAACUUAGCAUAAAUGCAAUUAUCCUCAACAUUCUCUCGGAAUCCAAAUCUUUUAAUGGUAUCAUUGAACUUGAUGUACCACUGUCUAGAGGCUUGCCUUAGCCCAUAAAUGGAUUUCUUUAGACGGCAACCUAGAUCAUCCUUGCCUUCCAUGAUAAAACCCUUGGGUUGUUUCAUGUAGACAUCUUCUUCUAAAUCACCGAUUAGAAACGUCGUCUUUACAUCCAUUUGAUGAAGCUCUAAAUCAAAAUGAGCAACUAGUGCCAUUAUGAUUCUGAAGGAAUCCUUACAAGAGACCGGAGAAAAGGUCUCAUUGUAAUCUAUCCCUUCUCUUUGUGUAAAUCCUUUUGCCACAAGUCGGGCUUUAUACUUGUCUACAUUUCCAUUAGAGUCAUACUUUGUUUUGUAGACCCAUUUGCAGCCUACUGUCUUUGCUCCUUUAGGAAUAAUCUCUAAGUCCCAAACAUGAUUGGAACUCAUCGAUUUCAUCUCAUGUUCCAUUGCCUCUAUCCAUUUUGAUGAGUGAGGGCUUUUAAUGGCCUCCUCAUAUGUGGUGGGAUCACCUUCCAUAUGAGCCAUUUCUGUGUUGUAUACUUUAUAAUCAGUAGAAAUAGCAGGUCCUCUUGUUCUAUUAGACCUUCUAAGUGCCUCAUUGUCGGGCACACUUUCUACUAUUUCUUGCUGCACUUCCAAUUCAUGAUCAACAAUGGGUUCAGUCGGCUCCUGAAGGACAGGUUCCGGGUCUUCUCCCGCAGUUGUCAUGGUUGGAGUUACAGCGGGUAGUGAGAAAAAUGGCUCUUGAAUCAUCGGAAUGGGUGCAUGCACCCUUUUCUCCUCAAGAUCAAUUUUCCGAGCUACCCGGCUCCCCCUCAUCAUAUCGUCCUCUAAGAAGAAAGCAUGUCUCGUUUCCACAAACUUUGUGUGUCUAGACAGUAGAAACGAAAACUUUUUGACCUAUCAGGGUAGCCAAUGAAAUGGCAACUCACUGUCUUCGGGUCUAACUUUCCAAGAUUUGGAUUAAACAUUUUGGCCUUAGCAGGGCAUCCCCACACUCUUAAGUGUUGUAGGGAUGGCACUCUUCCUGUCCAGAGCUCGUGCGGUGUUUUGGGCACCGACUUGCUUGGAACUCUGUUGAGAAUGUGAAUGGCGGUUUUAAGCGCCUCCAUCCACAAUCCCAACGGAAGGUCUGAGUAGCUCUCAUGCUGCGUACCAUAUCCAUGAGAGUACGGUUACGCCUUUCAGCUACUCCAUUUUGCUAAGGCUCGCCCGGCAUGGAAUACUGGGCAACAAUGCCAGUCUCUUGCAAGAAUUUUGCAAAAGGUCUAGGGACUUGGCCAUAUGGAGUGUGUCGACCGUAGUACUCCCCCCCACGGUCAGACCUCACUAUCUUAAUAUUUUUAUCAAGCUGAUUUUCAACUUCAGCUUUGAAUAUUUUGAAUUUAUCCAAUGCUUCAUGUCGGUCUUUGAUUGGAUAAAUGUAACCAAAGCGGGAGUAAUCGUCUGUGAACGUUAUGAAUGAAUCAUAACCAUCCAGACUUUUCACCGGAAACGGUCCACAAAUAUCAGUGUGGACAAUUUCCAGUGUUCCUGUGCUUCGGUUUGCUCCUUUCUUUAUUUGUUUUACAUAUUUUCCUUUAAUGCAAUCCACGCAUUGUUCUAAGUCAGAGAACUCCAACUUUGGAAGAAUUUCAUUUUUGAUUAAUCUUUCUAUUCUCCCCCUGGAAAUAUGGCCCAAUCGACAGUGCCAUAGUUUCGAGGAGUCGUGAGUUCCUUUUCUUUUCUUUUGAUCGUUGUUCGACGAAGUACUUUGUUCAUUCACAUUCAACACAUAGGGCGCUUUUUCACAUAGCGAUAAUAAAUAAAGCUCAUCAUAUAGAAAUGCAUCCCCAACAUAAUCAUUAUGAGACCAAAUGGCACAUUUGCCAUGUCCAAAGAAACAUUGAUAAUCGUCUUUGUCUAAACUGGAAACACUUAUUAAGUUCCUAUUACAUGAAGGUACGAAAAGCACAUCCCUAAGUAGAAGUUUGAAACCACCGGCUAGCUCCAAGGAGACGUCACCCACAGCUUCAACUUCGGCUUGGACACCGUUCACAACUUCAAUUCUUCUUGAAUUUCUUGGCAAAGUUAUCGUCGAACUGAAUCCCUCUAAAGAAUUUGCAACAUGAACAGUUGCUCCUGAGUCAAUUCACCAAGUAGAUUUCAUAAAAUUUGUAUACAAGGAUUCAUUAACAAAAGAAACUAUAUCUUUACCUCUCUUAGCCAUGAAGGUCUUUAGAAAAACAGGGCAAUCCUUCUUGUAGUGCCCUUUCUCCUUACAGUGGACGCCAGUUUCCCUGUCCACUGGAAUGUGCCUAUGCUGAUAAUGGACAGGAGCUUUGCCAUUGCCAUUGCCAUUGCCUUGUGGCUUGGAGGGGGAACCUUUGUUAGGCAGAAAGCCCUUCUUCUUUUCCUUCACAUAGUUAAGAGAGCCACCAUGUAAGGCCGUAAUCCUCUCCUCCUCUUGUGUGCACAUUGCGAUGACCUUUUCAAUGUCCCAAGUCUCGGGCUGCAUGUUGUAGUUGACUACAAAGGUCUCGAACUCCUUAGGCAACGAAGCCAUCACCAGGUGGACAAGGAGAGCUGGUUUUAUCUUCAGAUCCGCAUCCAUAGGUUUGAGCUUAGCCGCCGUGUGGCUCAUCCUAAGGAUGUGCUCCCUUAUGCCAUGGCCACCACCAUGGUAGCUCUCUGUCACCAGUUGUUUGAUCAACUAGGUGGCAUACGUCUUAGAAGAGCCAGUAAACUGACUCUUUAUCUUGUUCAGCAUUUCUUUUGCCGUAGGGCAAUCAGCAAUUGAUCCCACGAUAGUGGUCUCAAUGGUGUUCUUUAUAAACGCCAAACAUUUCUUGUUGGCAUUUAACCAUAGCAUGUUGCUGAUGGAGUGGGACAUCACCUCUUUUUCAUAAUUUGCUUGCCUUUUGUCCCAGCUCUGAUCAUCCUCAUCAGCCUCUCUGACUGGGUCUGCAGGUGCAGCUGGCUGUGGUUCCUCCAGAACCCAGUCCACCUCUGCAAUGCAGAGAGCCAUGUCCACCUUCUUCCUCCACUCAAAGUAGUUGUCCCCCCUGAGUGUCAGAAUUUCCUUGAGGCAGCUCAUCAGAUGGAAACCUCCUGAAAUCACCAAAUAAGCGAAGUCAGUACGACAAUCAUAUGCAUUAAAUAACGUUGGUUAAAAUAAUCAUAUAAUUGCCUAUGCAUAUUAAUCUACAUUACCGUUGGGCAAAUGAUAGAAAUAAAUGCAUCAUUUUGCAAUAUGCAAUAUGACCGUGUGAUUAAACAACGCCGGUCAGAAUAACAACAUUAUCAUAUUCCAUAUUGCUUUUAGCAGCGGAAAUCGUGAAAUAAAAUUUCAUGUGCCUCUUAACUUUACAGAAAAUAAUUCUGACAUUUAAAAUAAAAUUCAUGAAUUUUAUUAAUGCUUUUAUAAAAUUCAUGAACUUUUCCUUUUCUGAGAAAGCUAUUUUAUUCUCAAAAUACUUUCUACUUUUCUUUACAGAAAAAUUAUAUAACAAUUCUGUAAAUAUUCACACAAACUUUGAACAUUUUAAUUUAUAUUUUUCUAAACAUGUUUUCGUAGGAAAAAUGCCUAGAAAAAACUGUUUUAAAUCUGCCAUAAAAGGGACAGAAAUAAAAAGGUCCUUUAAAACAGAAAAAUGGGCCGGCCCUGGGAUUCCUCCCGCCGGCCUGGGGUUUUUCCCUCUGUUAGCCCGAAGGCCCAUCGCCCCUCCUGGCGGUCAAGCGCUGGCUCCCUUGUACGCGACUUAGGGUGCGCCACUUCGGCCUACCACGGCUCGGCCUAGGCCGGCCCUUCUUCCUUCCGGCCCGUGGUGGCCUGCACCGCUUAGGGUUUUGCCCCGGACCGUCGGAUUAUAUCCGACGGCCGGGCACGAUUUGCGCUGGGGUAAAACCCCCCCUCUUCCCUGCCGAAACCCUAGCCGCGUUCAUUUCUCUCCUCACCCCGCCGCUUUCUCCUUUCACCGAGCCACAAGGAGGCCACUCGCCACCUUUCCUUUGUGGCUGAGCCACGGCGGCCGCCGGUGACGGGGUCGAAGACCGUCGUCCCGUGCGCGCCCCUGGUUCCUCGUGCAGGCCAGCGGUGGCUCUCGCCCUCUCCCCUGCAGCCUUCGGCCCCUCCUCGUGCGGAGGCUUGCAGCCCCGCCGGAGGGUGCUGGGGAUGGUCGCUGUGUUGGAUAACGUAGCAUAAAUUCAAAAUUUUCCUACGAAUAUUCAGAUCUUCCGAUGGAGAGACCAGCAACGAGAGAGGGGUAAGAGCAUCUUCAUACCUUUGAAGAUCGCUAAGCGGAAGCGUUGCUAGAACGCGGUUGAUGGAGUCGUACUCGUAGCGAUUCCGAUCUAUGCCGAACAACGGCACCUCCGCGUUCAACACACGUGUAGCCCGGUGACGUCUCCCGCACCUUGAUCCAGCAAGGAGGAGGGAGAGGUUGGGGAAGAACUCCAGCAACACGACGGCGUGGUGUCGAUGGAGAGACGAGGUCUCCCAGCAGGGCUUCGCUAAGCGCCGGCGGAGAGGAGGAGGAGGAAGAGCAGGGCUGCGCCGAGAGAGAGGGAAAACCGUGCGUCUCAAUGGCCAAAACCCCUCUCUAUUUAUAGGAGGUGGGGGGAGGGCUGCGCCACCCCUAGGGUUCCCUCCCUAGGGGCCGGCGGCCACCAGAUGGGAGAGGGGGGCGGCGGCUAGGGUGGGAGGGGGUGUGACGCACCACCUGGUAGGCCUAAGGCCCACCUGCGCCUAGGGUUGCCCCCUCUCCCCACCACUUGCGCAUUGGGCUGGGUGUGGGAGGCGCACCAGCCCACCUAGGGGCUGGUUCCCUCCCGCACUUAGCCCAUCUAGCCUCUUGGGGUCGUUGCCCCCCUUCGGUGGACCCCCGGGGCCACCGCCGGUGGUCCCGGUACGUUACCGGUGAUGCCCGAAACACUUCCGGUAUCCGAAACCAUCCGUCCUAUAUAUCAAUCUUUACCUCCGGACCAUUCCGGAGCUCCUCGUGACGUCCGGAUCUCAUCCGGGACUCCGAACAACUUUAGGUAACCUCGUAUAACAAUGCCCUAUAACCCUAGCGUCAUCGAACCUUAAGUGUGUAGACCCUACGGGUUCGGGAGACAGGCAGACAUGACCGAGACACCUCUCUGGCCAAUAACCAUCAGCGGGGUCUGGAUACCCAUGGUGGCUCCCACUUGCUCCACGAUGAUCUCAUCGGAUGAACCACGAUGUCAAGGAUUCAAUCAAUCCCGUAUACGAUUCCCUUUGUCUGUCGGUAUAGAACUUGCCCGAGAUUCGGUCGUCGGUAUACCUAUACCUUGUUCAAUCUCGUUACCGGUAAGUCUCUUUACUCGUUCCGUAGCACGUCAUCGUGUGACCAACUCCUUAGUCACAUUGAGCUCAUGAUGAUGUUCUACCGAGUGGGCCCAGAGAUACCUCUCCGUCACACGGAGUGACAAAUCCCGAUCUCGAUUCGUACCAACCCAACAGACACUUUCGGAGGUACCCGUAGUGCACCUUUAUAGUCACCCAGUUACGUUGUGACGUUUGAUACACCCAAAGCACUCCUACGGUAUCCGUGAGUUGCACAAUCUCACGGUCGAAGGAAAAGAUACUUGACAUUAGAAAAGCUUUAGCAUACGAACAAUACGAUCUAGUGCUAUGCUUAGGAUUGGGUCUUGUCCAUCACAUCAUUCUCCCAAGGAUGUGAUCCCGUUAUCAAUGACAUCUAAUGCCCAUGAUCAGGAAACCAUGAUCAUCUAUUGACUAACGAGCUACCAACUAGAGGCUUGCUAGGGACACAUUGUGAUCUAUUUAUUCACACAUGUAUUACUGUUUCCUGUUAAUACAAUUAUAGCAUGAACAAUAGACGAUUAUCAUGAACAAGGAAAUAUGAUAACCAUUUUAUUAUUGCCUCUAGGGCAUAUUUCCAACAGUCUCCCACUUGCACUAGAGUCAAUAAUCUAGUUACAUUGUGAUGUAUCGAACACCCAUAGCAUUAUGGUGUUGAUCAUGUUUUGCUCGUGGAAGAGGUUUAGUCAACGGGUCUGCAAUAUUCAGAUCCGUGUGUACUUUACAAAUAUCUAUCACUCCACUCUGGACAUGGUCCUGGAUGGAGUUGUAGCGGCGCUUGAUGUGCUUCGUCUUCCGGUGAAACCUGGGCUCCUUGGCUAUGGCAAUGGCUCCAGUGUUAUCACAAAAGAGUGUCAUAGGACCCGACGCGCUUGGAACCACUCCAAGGUCGGUGAUGAGCUCCUUCAUCCAAAUUCCUUCAUGAGCCACUUCUGAAGCAGCUAUGUACUCCGCUUCACAUGUAGAUGCUGCCACGACUUCUUGCUUGUUGAUGCACCAGCUCACUGCCCCACCAUUCAACACAUAUAUGUAUCCGGUCUGUGACUUAGAGUCAUCCGGAUCUGUGUCGAAGCUAGCAUCGACGUAACCCUUUACGACGAGCUCUUCGUCACCUCCAUAAAUGAGAAACAUUUCCUUAGUCCUUUUCGGGUACUUAAGGAUAUUCUUGAUCGCUGUACAGUAUUCCGUACUGGGAUUACUUUGGUACCUCCCUACCAAACUUAUGGCAAGGUUUAUAUCAGGUCUGGUACACAGCAUGGCAUACAUUAGAGAGCCCACGGCUGAAGCGUAGGGGACAGAACUCAUCUUCUCUCUAUCUGCUGCCGUGGUCGGCGACUGAGUCUUACUCAAUCUCAUACCUUGCAAAACUGGCAAGAACCCUUUCUUUGAGUUUUCCAUAUUGAACUUCUUCAAUAUCUUGUCAAGGUAUGUACCUUGCGAAAGACCUAUGAGGCGUCUCGAUCUAUCUCUAUAGAUCUUGAUGCCUAAUAUGUAUGCAGCUUCUCCAAGGUCCUUCAUUGAAAAACUCUUGUUCAAAUAGGCCUUUAUGCUCUCCAACAUCUCUAUAUUAUUCCCCAUCAAUAAUAUGUCAUCCACAUAUAGUAUGAGGAAAGCUACAGACAGGCUUCUCCGUAAACCUGUAUGAACCCAAACGCUUUAAUCACCUCAAUAAAGCGAAUGUUCCAACUCCGAGAUGCUUGCACCAGCCCAUAGAUGGAGCGCUGGAGCUUGCAUACUUUGUUAGCACCCUUAGGGUCGACAAAACCUUCUGGUUGCAUCAUAUACAACUCUUCCUUAAGGUUCCCGUUAAGGAACGCUGUUUUGACGUCCAUUUGCCAAAUUUCAUAAUCAUAAAAGGCGGCAAUUGCUAACAUGAUUCGAACUGAUUUCAGCUUCGCUACGGGAGAGAAAGUCUCUUCGUAGUCAACUCCUUGAAUUUGUCGAAAACCCUUUGCGACAAGUCGAGCUUUGUAAACGGUUACAUUACCGUUUGCAUCAGUCUUCUUCUUGAAGAUCCAUUUAUUUUCUAUGGCUCGCCGGUCAUCGGGCAAGUCCACCAAAGUCCAUACUUUGUUCUCAUUCAUGGAUCCUAUCUCGGAUUUCAUAGCCUCAAGCCAUUUGUUGGAAUCCGGGCCCGCCAUCGCUUCUUCAUAGUUCGAAGGUUCACCGUUGUCUAACAACAUGAUUUCCAUCACAGGGUUGCCGUACCACUCUGGUGCGGAGCGUGCCCUUGUGGACCUUCGCGGUCCAGUAGUAACUUGGUCCGAAGCUUCAUGAUCAUCAUCAUUAACUUCCUCUUCAGUCGGUGUAGGCGCCACAGGAACAACUUCCCGCGCUGCGCUACUUUCCUGUUCGAGAGGGGGUGUAAUUACCUCAUCAAGUUCUACCUUCCUCCCACUUACUUCUUUCGAGAGAAACUCUUUCUCUAGAAAGGAUCCGUUCUUUGCAACAAAGGUUUUACCUUCGGAUCUAAGAUAGAAGGUAUACCCAAUAGUUUCCUUAGGGUAUCCUAUGAAUACGCAUUUCUCCGCUUUGGGUUCGAGCUUUUCUGGUUGAAGUUUCUUCACAUAAGCAUCGCAGCCCCAAACUUUAAGAAACGACAACUUAGGUUUCUUGCCAAACCAUAGUUCAUACGGUGUCGUCUCAACGGAUUUAGACGGUGCCCUAUUUAAAGUGAAUGCUGCAGUUUCUAAUGCGUAUCCCCAAAAUGAUAGCGGUAAGUCGGUGAGAGACAUCAUAGAUCGUACCAUAUCUAAUAAAGUGCGAUUACGACGUUCAGACACUCCGUUGCGCUGCGGUGUGCCAGGCGGCGUUAGUUGUGAAACGAUUCCACACUUCCUUAGGUGUGUGCCAAACUCGUGACUCAAAUACUCUCCUCCACGAUCAGAUCGUAGACAUUUAAUUUUUCUGUCACGUGGAUUCUCAACCUCACUCUGAAAUUCCUUGAACUUUUCAAACGUCUCAGAUUUGUGCUUCAUCAAGUAGAUAUACCCAUACCUACUCAAAUCAUCGGUGAGAGUGAGAACAUAACGAUAACCACCGCGAGCUUCAACGUUCAUUGGACCACACACAUCAGUAUGUAUUAUUUCCAAUAAGUCGGUUGCUCUCUCCAUUAUUCCUGAGAAUGGAGUCUUAGUCAUCUUGCCCAUGAGGCACGGUUUGCAUGUGUCAAAUGAUUCAAAGUCAAGAGACUCUAAUAGUCCAUCAGUAUGGAGCUUCUUCAUGCGCUUAACGCCGAUAUGACCAAGGCGGCAGUGCCACAAGUAUGUGGGACUAUCAUUAUCAACUUUGCAUCUUUUGGUACUCACACUAUGAAUAUGUGUAACAUCACGAUUGAGAUUCACCAAGAAUAAACCAUUCACCAGCGGAGCAUGACCAUAAAACAUAUCACUCAUAUAAAUAGAACAACCAUUAUUCUCUGACUUAAAUGAGUAGCCGUCUCGCAUUAAGCAAGACCCUGAUACAAUGUUCAUGCUUAAAGCUGGUACUAGAUAACAAUUAUUAAGGUUUAAAACUAAUCCCGACGGUAGAUGUAGAGGUAGCGUGCCGACGGCGAUCACAUCGACCUUUGAACCAUUCCCGACGCGCAUCGUCACCUCGUCCUUGGCCAGUCUCCGCUUAUUCCGCAGUUCCUGCUUUGAGUUGCAAAUGUGAGCAACAGCACCGGUAUCAAAUACCCAGGAGCUACUACGAGCGCUGGUAAGGUACACAUCAAUAACAUGUAUAUCACAUAUACCUUUAAUGUUGCCGGCCUUCUUGUCCGCUAAGUAUUUGGGGCAGUUCCGCUUCCAGUGACCCUUUCCCUUGCAAUAGAAGCACUCAGUCUCAGGCUUGGGUCCGUUCUUUUUCUUCUUCCCGGCAUCUAGCUUACCGGGCGCGGCAACAACUUUGCCGUCUUUCUUGAAGUUCUUCUUACCCCUGCCUUUCUUGAAACUAGUGGUCUUGUUGACCAUCAACACUUGAUGCUCUUUCUUGAUUUCUACUUCUGCAGACUUGAGCAUCGAGUACAACUCGGGAAUGGUCUUCUCCAUCCCUUGCAUGUUGUAGUUAAGCACAAAGCCUUUGUAGCUUGGUGGGAGAGACUAGAGGAUUCUGUCAAUUAUAGCAUCACCCGGAAGUUCGACUCCAAGUGAAGUCAGACGACCGUGUAACCCAGACAUUUUGAGUAUGUGCUCACUGACAGAACUGUUCUCCUCCAUCUUACAACUAAAGAACUUGUCGGAGACUUCAUAUCUCUCGACACGGGCAUGAGCUUGAAAAACUAGCUUCAGCUCCUGGAACAUCUCAUAUGCCCCGUGUUGCUCAAAACGCCUUUGGAGCCCCGUUUCUAAACUGUAUAACAUGCCACACCUGACCAGAGAGUAGUCAUCACUCCGCGUUUGCCAGACGUUCAGAAUGUCCUGGGCUGCUGCGGGAGCGGGAGGGUCACCUAGCGGCACAUUAAGGACAUAAGCCUUUUUAGCUGCUUCAAGGAUGAGCUUCAAGUUGCGAACCCAGUCCGCAUAGUUGCUACCAUCAUCUUUCAGCUUGUUUUUCUCUAGGAAUGCGUUGAAAUUGAGGUUGACGUUGGACAUCUACAAUAUUUAUAAAGACAACUUUUAGACUAAGUUCAUGAAAAUUAAGUUCAUUUAAUCAAAUUAAGUAUGAAAUCCCACUUAAAUCGACAUCCCUCUAGUCAUCUAAGUGAUACAUGAUCCAUGUUGACUAACCCGUGUCCGAUCAUCACGUGAGACGGACUAGUCACCAUGGUGAGCAACUUCAUGCUGAUCGUAUUCAACCAUACGACUCAUGUUCGACCUUUCGGUCUCUUGUAUUCGAGGUCAUGUCUGUACAUGCUAAGCUCGUCGCUUCAACCUAGGUGUUUCGCGUGUGUAAAUCUGGCUUACAUCCGUUGUAUGCGAACGUUAGAAUCUAUCACACCCGAUCAUCACGUGGUGCUUCGAGACAACGAUAAACAUCUUAUUAUGCUACCGUCGAAAUUUUAAGAGGGAUCAUCUUAUUAUGCUACCGUCGUUUUAAGCAAUAAGAUGUAAAACAUGAUAAACAUCACAAUGCAAUCAUAUAGUGACAUGAUAUGGCCAUUAUCAUCUUUGCUCUUUCGAUCUCCAUCUUCAGGCAUCGCAUGAUCAUCAUCGUCACCGGCGUGACACCAUGAUCUCCAUCAUCAUGAUCUCCAUCAUCGUGUCUCCGUGAAGUCGUCACGCCAACUACUACUAUCACUACUACUAUAGCUAACCGUUAGCAAUGAAGUAAAAGUAGUAAGCACAUGGCGUUGCAUCUCAUACAAUAAAUUAAGACAACUCCUAUGGCUCCUGUCGGUUGUCAUACUCAUCGACAUGCAAGUCGUGAAACCUAUUACAAUAACAUGAUCAUCUCAUACAUCAUACAUGCAACAUCACAACUUUGGCCAUAUCACAUCACAUGUCAAACCCUGCAAAAACAAGUUAGACGCCCUCUAAUUGUUGUCGCAAGUUUUACGUGGGUGAUUUGGGUUUCUAGCAAGAAGGCCUUCUUACCUACGUAACAGCCACAACGAUGAUAUGCCAAAGCUAUUUACCCUUCAUAAGGACCCUUUUCAUCAAAUCCAAUCCGACUAGAGUAGGAGAUACAGACACCCGCUAGCCACCUUUAUGCACGGUGUGCAUGUCUGUCGGUGCAACCAGUCUCACGUAAGCGUACGUGUAAAGUCGGUCCGGGCCGCUUCACCCCACAAUACCGCCGGAAAAGAAUAAGACUAGUAGCGGCAAGCAAAUUGACAAAUCAUCGCCCACAAUUUUUGUGUUCUACUCGUGCAUAGAAUCUACGCAUAGAAAACCUGGCUCGGAUGCCACUGUUGGGUAACGUAGCAUAAAUUCAAAAUUUUCCUACGCAUAUUCAGAUCUUCCGAUGGAGAGACCAGCAACGAGAGACGGGUAAGAGCAUCUUCAUACCUUUGAAGAUCGCUAAGCGGAAGCGUUGCUAGAACGCGGUUGAUGGAGUCGUACUCGUAGCGAUUCCGAUCUAGUGCCGAACAACGGCACCUCCGCGUUCAACACACGUGCAGCCCGGUGAUGUCUCCCGCACCUUGAUCCAGCAAGGAGGAGGGAGAGGUUGGGGAAGAACUCCAGCAACACGACAGCGUGGUAUCGAUGGAGAGACGAGGUCUCCCGGCAGGGCUUCGCUGUAAUGCCCCAAGUGUAGGUCUUUCCCUUUUUGUAACCUUCCUUGUGGGGCCACCUUGUCAGAGAUUGUGAUGCUAUUAUUUUGUGCCAUGAUUCCAUGUGUGUUCCCUAGUGCUUACUUCACUUGCAUGCAUGCACUACAUAUCAUCCCUUGUCAUGUCUUAUGUUUGUAUGUCAGGAUCAUGCUUGCAUAGGCUCUUACUAGGGGUGAGUAGUGGGUGUUAUAUUUCAUGUGAUCAUGUGUUGUGUGCCUUGUGUAGAGUGUAGCAUGUGUUAGCAAGUGCUCAUUUAUAUGUUUCCCUUUCAAAACCAACCACCUUCUCCCCCCCUCUAUUUUUCCCUAUAUAAAAAUUUCACCUCUUUCUUUCCUUUAAAAAUAAUGCCCAUGUGUUAGCUAGAAUUGUGGUGGAUGAGUAUGUAAGUUGCUCGUUUUGUUGGGGGGGUUUAUAGGGGCAUAUAUAAUCACAAAACAGAUCAAAAUAUUGCUGUUUUGUAAAAUAUCUAAUUGCUCCUAAAUUCUUGUUCUGAUUUUUAUAAAGUAAGGUUAGAUUUUCCAAGUCCAGGGAGCUUCUUGUGUUUUUUUUUGUCAUGUGUUUACAACCUUGGGCAUUUCUUUCUUCUCUUGUAUUCCUGUUAAAAGGAAACUGCUUAGGGAGGGGUUUAAUAUUUAUAUCUCGCCAAGUUGGGCUGCUUCCCGCGCAAGGCGUGGCCCAUCUACUCCUCCCUCGCGAGUAGAGGCCCAGAACCGCAGCUCCAUCCUCCUCUCACGCUGUAGCUUUCCUCUGCAGCUUUCUGUCAGGUCGUGAGUGCACAUGUUGACGCCGUGAGGGCGCCAACGUCGAGGGGGACCCUUAUAACCCGGGCGUCCGUGCCUCCCCUCUCCUCCUAGGGUUCCUCCUCUCCCCAGUCCGCCGCCGCCACCUCUUCUCCUCCUUCCCAUCUCUCCUCCCGUCUACAGGAGGGUUCCUGUAGGGGUAGACCAAGUGGUGCAGCUCCUCGCCGGCGGACGCCUCGCUCCCGCCUCCGAUCGCCGCCGUCACCAUGUCCAGGAGCUCGGGGUGGAUCCCCGCGAUCCAUUCCGGCACUAGGAGCCCCGGGGACCGACUACUUCGCCGGAUCCGUCCACGUCUACGGAGAGUUCCCGGUGCUCCUUCCCCUGCAGCGUUUCUUCAGUUCAGGAACAGCUACGCCGACGUCCUUCUUCCUCUCCGGCGCUCUCCCGUUGUAGAUCGGCGCCCCCUCUUCCGGUUGUAGGUGACGACCGCCUCCUCCCUUCUCCAUGGUUUAGAUGGUGUGGUAGACGUGUGCUUCUCUGUUUCCAGGAGAGGGCGACAGAGUUGUGUGUGUUUGUGGUGAGUUAGCAGGGGUAGUUCGCUCGAUGGGGAGAGGAUCAGAGUAGUAACGCAGGGGCUUUUCCCUCUCCCGCAGGCAAGGUAGAGGCCGGGACAGAGAUGCAUCUUCGGUGACCUCCGUGUCCCAGAUCGCAGGUGCAGGCCAGCGAGCAGAUUCGAGGCAUGUUACGUGGUUUUAGUCCCUUCCUCCGUCAGUCAUUGCAGCGUAGCGUAGUGGUUGGUGUGUGGGGAUGUUCCUGCGAGGUCCUGGGAUCAAAUCCCAGGGAAUGCAUCGCCCCUUUUGUUGUUUUUCUUCCCUGACAGUGGAAUUCAGUAGCAGUGCAACUGCAUAUAUCUCUGCUGAAUAGACUUCCUGUCGAGUAUGCCCUCUUAGCCCAGUGGUGUGCGCCCGGCUUGCACACCAGAGGCACAGGGGAUCAAACCCCAGGGUGCCCUUUUAUUCCAUUUCUUUUCCCUGUUUUUGUUUCUUCUGUUUUUUUUUGCUCUUUUGCUUAGUUGAGGGUGGUGAUGUAAGCAUAGGUGGCAGAGGGCAUGUUUAUGUUUCCUUGCUACCGUAUCAUGGCCAUUUGAGGACAUGCGUGCUAGUGUUCUUGUGAGGGAGAGCUUGUAAGUAGGGUUAGUGUGAUAGUGGUAGUGGUGAGUUGAUGUGUGUGGGAGUUUGAGCUUGGGGUGGUGUGUGUGUGUGCAAGUAUGUGUGUAACCCCAUACACAUGCUUGUGCAAUUGCGCAAGCCUUGAAGUUUAAGCCUUGGAGGAUAUAUAUUGUGAUGGGUGUGCUUUAACUUGAGUUAGCACUAGUAUAGAUUGUGUGUGAGAGCCUCACCCAUAGUAAGGCAUGAAGAGCAUUGUUGUGCAUAUGACUUAGUAGUGUGUGGUGGUGUUGGAUUCGUUUAGGGUGUGUAGCUAUUGUAAGUUCUAAUUAGUUCUAGUAGGACUAGCUUUGUGUCAUUCUAGAGAUGUGGGUGGUGUGGACCUUCCCACCUUGCAAGUGGUGCACCUCCUCAUGGUUAAUACGAGAGAGAGCAUAUUGAGUGUGUGGGGUUGGCUCAUGUGUGUUGGUGUUGUUGAUGUGCAUGACACAAACAUGGGGUUCAAACCCCCAUGUCACUUUGUCAUUGUGCACAUAAGAUUCACCUAUGUAUUAGUCAUCUUAGAGGCAUACCUUGUGGAAUUGCAUUUGCACUUUGUUGAAAGUUUGGGCCUUGUUCCCAUGGUAUAGAUGGAGCCCAAGGGCAUGGAUUUUGUGUGUUAGUAGUAGGGGUUUAUGCUCAACACCAUAGUGGUGUCAAACACCUCUUGGGAACAUGUGUGUGCAAACUAUGCCUAGACAAAGUGGGCAUGUGGCUGGAAAAUUCCAGAUUUUUUUGAACUCUGAAAAUUUCACUAAGUCUGGAAUGCUGAAAACAUUUCCUUCCCCUGUAAAUAAGGUUGUGCUGGUCAUUAUGUUGAGAACUGGACUUAGUUCAGUGCUAGUGUUUUGAACCUGGUAUGUUUGUGAAGCUUACUGUAAAUUUUCAAGUCAUUUGGAGUCCAGUAGCUGGUGUUUUGAUUGCUGUCAAAAAGCUUCAGAACAGAAACAGAAACUCAGGUGCAGGAAUUUUCACUAAGUCCCUGAGAACUGAUGGUUUUGGGAAAGAUUGUGGCCUUGUAUCUUCUAGAGUUUAAUUCCUUUUGCUGUGAUUCUUGCUGGAGAUGAUAGUAUUCUUGGUUGGCAACAUCCACAUAUAUUAUUUGUCAUGUUUGAAGACCUGUAGCUAUGUUGCAUGUUGCUCUCAAACAGCUAAGAUGCAGAAACUGGCAGAUUGCGUAGUUUUGACUUCUUGUGCAAAGUUUGCGUUUAAUUGUUGUUGGAGUGUUCUACCUUGCUCCAUUCCAUUCAUGUUGGGUUAGUAUAUGUCUUGGCAACCUGGGAACACCAGAUUUGUGCCAAUUGUGUGAGUGGUGAUGAAUCUUUCACGUAGGGCUUCAUUUCGUGUUUCGUUGAUUCCCGUUGAUCCGUAGCUCCGUUUGCAAAGUUCUUUAUAUGGUUUUGCACCGUUUUUACGAGAUGAAUCUGUUCAUAUCAUUCCCAUGCAUGUCCAAAUAGUUUAGUGCAAAGUUCUGUCCAGGAACUUGUUGUAGUUAUUCUUGCUUGUGCUAGUGUUUGAAAAUAGUGGUGCAUGCUCAACUUUCAUCUCAUGCAUCAUGUGAUUGUUGCAUUUUGUGGUGCUGCUGUUCAUUGGCUGUUAUUCUUGUAUUGGGUAGCACCGGGAGCGGAGACCGAAUACGUGGAGUCAGGAGAGUACGUGCAGGACGAUCCAGAACCAUUCCAAGCUGAGGAUAUCACAGGCAAGAUGACAUGACCUUGAUCCCAUAUCUAGACUUGUUAUGUUAGUUUCGAUUCCACGUUGUUGCUCGCUGCCUACCACUGAAAAUAUAUUGCCUCUUCAUAUGCCAUGAGCCUAAACACCUUACUUCUUCCUAGCAAACUUGCAUGGCUAGGUACGCUUGCUCAGCUACUAAUGUUAGCAUUGUUAGUUGCAGGUGAUUAUAACUCAUGAGUUGUCAUGAGCUUGAUAUCAUCAUCUUAUUUUUCUGUUAUUAUAUCAAUGUAUCUAUACACUUGGUAAAUGACGGGAGGCCGAGCCUUUUGCUGGGUGUCUUGUUCCGUUAUUGCCGCCUUAGUUACCGGUUACCGGUGUUUGAUUCCAUAUUGAUCGCUCCUAACACGUUCGGGGUUGUUAUGGGGACCCCCUUGAUAAAUCGCGUAGUGUUAAGGCUUGUCCGGCAGGACCCAACUUUGGUACUAUUUGCUAAUCACCUAAUAAUAAUCUGCAUAGGGAAUAGCUACCCCGAGGAUUCUAAUCAACAACCCGGGCCAGUGCUCCUCAUGAGUGUUGGUCCAAACUGGUCUGCCUGCGGGGCCACCACAAGGAAACUUGAGGUUUGGCACCUGUAGCUAGUUCCAUCCGGCGUGUCCUGAGACUGAGAUACGCGGCUCUUAUCGGGGUCGUCGACACGUCGGGAGGUCCUGCUAGUCUUGCCUUGCCUUAGCGGUAUAUCUUGCGUAUAGGAUUACCGUGAAGCUUUGGUUUCCCCCAUAGUUGAGGUUUUCCUCUAAGGAAUCCGACGAGAUCACGAGAUUCGUGAUAGAGGAUGCCUUUGAGGCCUGUGUUCGUUUGUGAUGGACUAGUUAGAGCACCCCUGCAGGGUUUAAUCUUUCGGAAAGCCGUGCCCGCGGUUAUGUGGCAACUUGGAAUAUUUUGUUAACAUCCGGUAUUAGAGAACUUGAACAUAAACUAAUAAACAUGCCAACUGAGUGCGUAACCGUGACUGUCCUUUCGAAGAUCUCUCUUCGAUCGGGAACACGGAGGGGUUAUGAAUGACGUAGGUAGGUGUUCAGGAUCACUUUCUGAUCAAGUGUUCUCAAUCGUUAGCAUAUACCACUGUCAUUUUUCCCUUUGCGUAAGCUAGCCACUUAUUCAAUCUUAGGAUGCAGCAGCCGGAAACACUUCAUCCCUUCCUUACCCAUUAACAUGACUAGGUCUGGCACCAAGGUCUUAGAUUGCUGAGUCCCCGUGGCUCACGGAUUCCUCCGAAACUUCCAGCAGGUACAGGUACCCCAGAGGCAGAGGAUCCCGACGGCACCCAGCUGGCGUGGCAGUACGACGAGGAGACAGAUCGCCUUUACGUGAACUAUCCAGAGGACUGAGCCGUGGUCGUGAUCGUGGGCCUGCAGCGGGUAGCAUAGCAUUUUCCUUGUUUUGUAGCCCGUACCGGAACUACCUUGUUUGUAUCUGUGUUGUACUCUGUAUCUUUAAUAAGAAGACAGUUGAAUCCCAGAUUGUCUACUAUAUUUAUUUUUAUGUGCUAUGUUUACUUGCUUGCAAAACACUUAGAUGCGCUUCUUUCCUAUUCGGGGCCUCGACCCCCAGAUCGAAAAGGACCGCAUCUUGGUCAUUACAUUCGCCAAGCACCGGCGGAGAGGAGGAGGAGGAAGAGCAGGGCUGCGCCGAGAGAGAGGGAAAACCGUGCGUCUCAAUGGCCAAAAACCCUCUCUAUUUAUAGGAGGUGGGGGGAGGGCUGCGCCACCCCUAGGGUUCCCUCCCUAGGGGCCGGCGGCCAUCAGAUGGGAUAGGGGGGGCGGCGGCUAGGGUGGGAGGGGUGUGGCGCACCACCUGGUGGGCCUAAGGCCCACCUGCGCCUAGGGUUGCCCCCUCUCCCCACCACUUGCGCAUUGGGUUGGGUGUGGGAGGCGCACCAGCCCACCUAGGGGCUGGUUCCCUCCCGCACUUAGCCCAUCUAGCCUCUUGGGGUCGUUGCCCCCCUUCGGUGGACCCCCGGGGCCACCGCCGGUGGUCCCGGUACGUUACCGGUGAUGCCCGAAACACUUCCGGUAUCCGAAACCAUCCGUCCUAUAUAUGAAUCUUUACCUCCGGACCAUUCCGGAGCUCCUCGUGACGUACGGAUCUCAUCCGGGACUCCGAACAACUUUAGGUAACCUCGUAUAACAAUGCCCUAUAACCCUAGCGUCAUCGAACCUUAAGUGUGUAGACCCUACGGGUUCGGGAGACAGGCAAACAUGACCGAGACACCUCUCUGGCCAAUAACCAUCAGCGGGGUCUGGAUACCCAUGGUGGCUCCCACUUGCUCCACGAUGAUCUCAUCGGAUGAACCACGAUGUCAAGGAUUCAAUCAAUCCCGUAUACGAUUCCCUUUGUCUGUCGGUAUAGAACUUGCCCGAGAUUCGGUCGUCGGUAUACCUAUACCUUGUUCAAUCUCGUUACCGGUAAGUCUCUUUACUCGUUCCGUAGCACGUCAUCGUGUGACCAACUCCUUAGUCACAUUGAGCUCAUGAUGAUGUUCUACCGAGUGGGCCCAGAGAUACCUCUCCGUCACACGGAGUGACAAAUCCCGAUCUCGAUUCGUACCAACCCAACAGACACUUUCGGAGGUACCCGUAGUGCACCUUUAUAGUCACCCAGUUACGUUGUGACGUUUGAUACACCCAAAGCACUCCUACGGUAUCCGGGAGUUGCACAAUCUCACGGUCGAAGGAAAAGAUACUUGACAUUAGAAAAGCUUUAGCAUACGAACAAUACGAUCUAGUGCUAUGCUUAGGAUUGAGUCUUGUCCAUCACAUCAUUCUCCCAAUGAUGUGAUCCCGUUAUCAAUGACAUCUAAUGCCCAUGAUCAGGAAACCAUGAUCAUCUAUUGACUAACGAGCUACCAACUAGAGGCUUGCUAGGGACACAUUGUGAUCUAUUUAUUCACACAUGUAUUACUGUUUCCUGUUAAUACAAUUAUAGCAUGAACAAUAGACGAUUAUCAUGAACAAGGAAAUAUGAUAACCAUUUUAUUAUUGCCUCUAGGGCAUAUUUCCAACACGCCGGCCGUGGUGACUGAAGGGUCCCACGCCGCGCGGUGGUUUCUCUGUGGCCGCACAGGGUGCUGCGGUCGGGAAGCCGAGCCCCCUUCUUGUUCGCGCCUUAGAUCCUGUGGCGCCACGGCCACCUCCUUCGCUGGUGGUGCGUUUCCCUUCGUGGAAGCGCACCGCCGUCGAAUGGCGUGCUCGUGGUGCCGUUCCUUUUUCACCAUGUCAUGCAGCGGCGGCCCCCUCCGCUCCUCUUGUCGGUGCGCGCACUCUCCCGAGGGAGAGUGCGCUGCCGUCAAGGGGGGCGUUGGGGUGCCAUCCACCCUGCCUUUUGCUCGCGCUGUAGCCGAGCCACUCAUAUGUUUUUCUUUAUAGAGAAAAGGAACAUGGCGUCGUGGCCUCCCGUUUCGCCGGUGGCGCGUUCCUUUGCGGGGAGCGCGUCGCCGUCGAGUGGGUUGGCCGUGGUGCCUCGUUGCCAUUCUCCCUAUCUUCGGCCUUUUCGGAUCUUGAUCCAACAUGUUUUCUUUUGUCCUUGUUUUGCAUCGUUCCCCCCUUCUUUUUGUUUUUCCUUUAGGAUCUUGAUCCGUACUUAGCCCCCGAGGGGGUAGGUUCUUCUUCCCCGCACCUCGGCUUGCCGAUGCGUGUGGGGAUCGAGAGGAACAGGCGCGGCCUUGCGGCAGCGCUUCUUUUCCGACGAGGCCGUAGCCAUCCUCGGUGCCUUGCCCAUCUAGGGUUCGUAAGGGUAGGGGAAGAUGCUUUAUUUUCUUUGUACCGAAUAAAUCUCUGCCUAGUGGCUCUGAUACCAAUGUUAAAGCCGUAGAUCAACUAGGCAUAGAUAGAUCCGGAGUUACCAUUGUACUCACCUAAUCCCGAGCCCGAGGAACUCCCUGGUCCGGCCAUCGAUGCCGGUGUAGUCGUCGGUGGCGUGAGGGAAGAGGUGUGGUCGUGGGUGGUGCUUCCCGUGAGCACUGCGCUAACCCUAGAUCGGUAGGGGAUUUAGGUGGGGAGUCUGGCGGCGCGGUGAACCUCGUACCGUGCACCCUGGCCCCCACCACUUUAUUUAUAGCGCAGGUCACACGGGCCCACCAACCAUAACGGGUUGGGCGCCCCCGAUCAGGGCGCAUAGAUCAAGGGCCCGGUGGGCCGUUGGGCCCACGCGGAAGAGAUCAACCUAACACCCUUUUCCAUGCCAACUCGGAGCCGGCAAGACGCACGGCUCCUGGAAUUAUGGAUUCCGAGACGGAGAGCGUUUAGAUUAAUUACUAAGUAUUUUUAUAUUUCUUUGCUUUACAGAGGAAGUACUAAAGAAAAAUUAACUUACUGUAAAAAAUAGCAUGGACUCUUAAUAUAUGCUAUUAGCAAGAUAUUAUACACCGAUUUAUUUAACAAGAUGAUUCUCCAUACGUUAUAGCGUGCUAUUAGCGACAUUAUAGCGUGUUAUUUUUUGGGGACUGCUAGACGUCUACCGUGGAUUUGUAUUAAUCAUCCACCACUCUUUUAAUCGUCCGAUAUACACGCAUGCACCGUCCGAUCAGCAGCUCGGUUGUCUCUGCCCAUCACAUAAAAAUCCUGAAACAAUGUUCCAGUUGCAGAAACAAGCACGCGGCUACGCGUCCGGUUGACGAGUUAAAAAGCGACUGACGGGUCUUUUACAACACAGAUUAUGUUGCAUUUUUUUUGCAACAGAGAGUAUGUUGCGAAAACGUCUGUACAUUAUUUUUGCAAUAGAACUUGUUAUAGAAUAUUUUCUGCAACAAGAAUCGUGUUGCAGAAACUUUUGCAACAAAAAUCAUGUUGCGGAAAACUUUUACAACAUAGGCCAGGUUGCAGAAAACUUUUGCAACAAAAGAUAUUUAUUCCAAUUUUUUGAAACAGAUACCAAGUUGCUGAAACUCCUCGUUGCGCGAGUGCACGCUUGAACAUCAGCCAUGGUUAUGAGCGUGAGGCAGAGAGUACAUAUGAACACGUGUUGAACGGAGGAGUCGGCGGACGCACUGCGUGUGAUCCGCCGGCGGAAUCAUAGUGUUUUCCUUAAUUUUUUUCAGUGAUUUAUACACAAAACGCCGACUGGUUCGCAUCGUCCACAUAAACAACACGAUCUCAGAAGGAUGGCUUCGGUUGUUGCUCGGAUCUAUCUCAGGCCUCGUUCUUCGACGAUCAAUCCCGAUAGACUCCCUGCCUCGAAGCAAAGGCCGGUGCCUCUGUGGUGGUGCUGAGAGGAUCGGACCCCAGGUAAUUCCAUCUUUCUUUCCCCUUAUUUGUUCCCAAUGUUCUGUCGUGCUCUAGGGAUUCAUUGAUUAAUUAAGACUUCGUUAGUAGGCGGAAAACCCUAUAUGACGCAUUUUGCGUCAAACAGUCAGUGAAUCGCAGAGGCGACCUGGCCAGCGAUUUGGGCCGGCCCUACUGUAGAGUAAGUUAUGCUUGAAGAUUCUAGUUUUGGGAACCUUUAAAAGAUUCCCAGCCGGGUUUUACUGGAUUUGGAAACCUCCUAGAAGUAUUGAACCGAUUUUUAUUUUCUUUUAUAUUUCUUGAUUUUAUUUUAAUUCCUUUUUAAUUUCUUUUUCUUUUUCUUUUUUUGUUGUCCUUUCUUUAUUAUACUUUUCUUUCAUUUUCCUUUUCAUAUUUAUUUUUUCACAAAAUUUUUAGAUUUCGUUCCUGUUUUCAUUUCUUUUAUUUUAGUUAUUUUUCUGUUUAUUUUUUAUUCUUAUUUCCCUUUUCUACCUCAAGGUUAUUUUAUCUUUUUGAAACUAUGUUCAUGUUCUAAAAUUAUUUUCAAAUUUCGAAAAUAUUCUUGCUUUCAAAAAAUGUUCUAAAUUUCAAAAACAAAUGGCCGUUUCUGAAAAAAUGUUCGUAACUCCAAAUAACGUUCGGGAUUUUCUAAAACUAUUAUUGUUUUGCAUAAAAUGUUCUUGUUUUUGUUUCCAUUUUUUCCCUUUCUCUUUUUUUAUUUUCUGCUUUUUGUUUAAAAUUUUCAUAAUUUUACUCUGAAUUAAAAAACUGUUUUCGUGGUCAAUUUUUUUUAUAAUUUCUAUUUAAAUGUUCGUGCUUCAAAAAAUAAUCAGGAAUUGGAAAAACUGUUCUCGCUUUACAAUUGUAUUCAUAUUUAAAAAAAAGUUUGUGUUUUAAAAAUUGUUCUCAGAUUAAAAAUAUUGCAUGAUUUCUCAAAAAUAUCCGUGUUUUGAAAACAAUUCAGGGGUUUAAGAAGAUGUCCUUGUUUAAAAAAAUAAUGAUUUCAUUAAAAUAUAUGUGUUUAAAAUAAUGUUCUCCUUUUCAAAAUUUGUUCACGGUUUUCAUAAAAUGUUCGUAUUUAAACGAACAUUCUCAUUCUCAAUUUUUUUCAGGAUUUUCAUAAAAAUGUUUGUGUUUAAAACAGUGUCAAAGAAUUUCAAACAAAGAAUCUUUUUUUUAAUUUGUUCAAAAUUUAAGAGAAAUAUUUGCGUUUGAAAAAAUGUUUGCAUUUUCAACAUUUUGUUGAAAAUUUCAAAAAGUUUGCCCUUGAAUCAAAAUUUGUGUUCUUUUACGAACAAUGCUUAAAAAAUUGAAAAUAGGAAGAAUUAUAAAUUUCAAAAUUUGAAUUUCCCAACUAAUAUUUGCGUGUUGAAAAGUAUCUUUUUCCCAAUAAUCACAUUAAAUUUUGUUUUAUAGAAGAUUGAAUAUGUCGCAUAGUGAAUGGGCCGGCCAGGCGAAGUGCUCCCUGUGCAAAACCAUGCCUUGCAGAGCCACAACGAAUGGGCCGGCCAGGCGAAGUGCUCCCUGUGCGAAACCAUGACUUAGAUAAGGCGCCCCAUAUGCGAAUCUACGACUCCUUAUCGCAAUAAGUUGUAUAUAUGAAGUCCCCUAAUAGGGUUUUAUAAGAAUGUUUUAUUUUAAGCGUCUAAAAUAAGUUGGAUAUUCUAGAAGCCUAAAAAAGCUAAAAAACUGAUCCUAAACUAUGAGUUGUUGCAAAAGAAAGAUGCUAAAGAUACUACCUCCUUUUAGCACGUUGCAAAAAUUUCUUAAUGUCUGGCCACAUAUGCCAAUCUUUUCAUCCGCCUGAUUAUUUCUCCUUUUAGUUUGUUGUUCGGAUCAAGCCCAAUCAACUUCUUAAGCUAUGAUGAAAUAUUUGCAAAUAGUUACUUUAAUUUUAUUUAAUAUAUGAAGUUUAUUAAUACUUUGAUUUGUCUACAGAAUUUUCGCCCAAACUACAGACUGUCGUCCGAGGACAGUCUCGAGAUGGCAUUAGAGAAUCUUGACAAGAACUUGCAAAAGGCAAAUGAAGAAAGCUCUAAGUUUGCUAGAACAUGAAAAACGGUAACAUCCUGUUUGGAUGUAGGAAAAACUGAUUGAAAAUUGAAAAUCUAGAAAUUUAUGGCACGAUUCCGUUGUUUGGGGUGGUUACAGAAUUGAUCCAUGAAAACGCAGUCCAAUUCAAAGCCAGGCCGCGCGCGCGACCGCCCCAUGCAACAAGACCUCGGAAUCGCACGGAAGCGCUCCCCACCUCCGCGUACCCCUUCGCUCCCGUGCGAGACCCGAAGCCCCCCAUCCGCCACCGCCGCCAUUCGGCCACCUCUGAUGCCGCCGCAUCCGGGCACCUCCGCCCCCUCAUCCGGCCACCUCCGCCCCCCUGCACCCGGCGACCUCCGCCGCCGCCGCAUCCGGCCACCUCCGCCCUGUUAAACUGUGAUCCAAAUUCUACCGUGUUGGACUAGACGUAGUACAAACGGUGUGAGCCUUUGCGUUGGUACCGAUGCGUACGAAUACAACUCGUUUACUUGUCCUCUAAGGACUCUCAUGUAUUGUACCUCAUAUAUUUAGGACAGUAAAACUGCACCUAAUUCCAGCCUCCUCAGUCAUUUAGCAUUUUUAACCGUCCGAUUUCGUGUACUAAACAUUUCUGGUCGUUAGAUCUUUCGUUAAGAUGAUUUUUUUCGCGAGAUGGGCUGGCUGUCCUAAAGGGCAGCUAUUCCCGUAGCUUUUUUGGCCCAUUGUGGUUAACUGGGCUGCUAUCUGUUUUUUCUGGCCCAUUGCUUCCGCUGACUCCAGGACUCUAGAUUGCGGCACCUCGACUUAUCCUCUCCCCGAUCUCUUCUCUUUCUGUCCGCCUGCAGGUCUCCUCCCCAGCGUCAGGACCACACACGCUACGACCGCCGGCGGGGCUUGCACCCGGGCCGGGAUAGUUGCCGCGGUGAGUGGAGUCCUCCUCCUCUCCACUCCCCCGUCGUCGUCGAAUUGGGAUCUCCCGUUCCAACAAAUCUCCACAGAAAAGCCCAAACCUAAUCUGCUCCAAACCUAGGGUUUUGCCGACCCGCCGGCUCUCAGACCGCUCGCAGGUGUCGGCGCCUCCACCGACUCCAUGUACAACGGCACGGGCUGCAGAUCGUGCGGUGGCGACCGCCCUCCCUGCUCCUCCACAAGCAUGGCACCACGCGGACGUCGCCCACGUGCGCCCCUCCUCCUCAGCUCGUUCUCGUCUCCGUUAGGCAGGUGAGCUCAUGCUUCCUCCUUGAUGUACCCUUUAUUUAGUACUGUUAUUGCACGGUGUGUGAUAUAUUGCUUUGUGUGUGGGGGGGGGAGUGUACAGCUGCCAGAUGUUUGUGAUGCAAAGACGAGCUCUUGAGGCAAUCAAGAAAAGCAAAGAAGAGUAGGAGGACCUCCGAACUGAAAGUGUUGUUAGGUAUUGUCUAUACUGUACUGCUACAAGAAAUUUACUUGAUGAUUCAAUGGAUGACAGGUGUGAAGUUGCACUAUGCUUUGAUGCAAAAAAAUUCUUCACUGAAGCUGUGAUCAUCUCCAAAACGGAAAAGGAUGUGUCCAUCGAAUGAAAAGAAAAUCGAAAGUUAAAGGAGAAGCUAGGAACCCUAGAGAAAGAGUAUUUGUUCCAAAAGCAUCAGGAAGACCCAAGCAAGGGAGUGCUGAAAUGGUUUUGUGUGAUAUCCAGGUGAAGCCUAACAACACAUCACCAUGAAGAUCCCGUAUGAGUCCCAAGCAAGAUCUGCGGUAUGACAAACUUCUCAAACUGAACAGUUCAAUUAUGGAUUAUGAUGGUGCUCUCACUAAGAACGGACAAGAAAAGCAAUUGAAGUGCAUUUCGGUAUCUAUUAUGAAGUUGUCAAAAGAGUUUAUGGAGAUUAAGCAAAAAUUUAAGACAAAACUGAAAACAGGUCUGCCCAUCUUGCUUUUAAAAUGCAAAUCCAGUCUAACAUAUUUAUUUUUUAGUAUUAUUCUCAUGAGUGUUUAAUAAAUAUUAAAUUAUGUAAGACCGGUUAAAAAAUUAAUCUGUAAAAUUUGAUAUAUAUGGUGGAGCUGAUGUUGUGUUAUUUCUAUACGUAUUUAAUCUGUAAAUUUGAUGUUGCCUUCUCGGAGUUCAUGCAGUUUUUUUUCCUCAUGUGUAGUUAUAAGUUGUCUCUUCACAAACGUCCAACUGCUGCAGAUGAUGCUUGGUUAUUGCAGUACAUAUUUUAACUGUAGACUGGACCAUUGGUUCGGUACACUACUUUUUGUUUGACUGUAUCUUCAGGAAGGGUACUAUUAUUUCAUGAUGCUAUACUAAACCACUGGUUUGUUGCUCGAGCUGUACUAUAGACUCUUAAUUGUGAUUUUUUUUAAUCAAAUUUCAUGUCUGCCACUUAUGAGAAAUUUAGAUAAUCGUAGGCUUUUCAGAAGCUUUUGACCCUAGAAAGAAGGCUCUUAAGAAGCUGAUUACAUUAAUAUGCAGAUAUUACCUGUACGUUAUGCAGAUAUUACCUGUACGUUAAUUUCUGAUCCUUAUGAAUCAUCUGUGAAAGCAGUUAGCAUGUAAGAAAGAUAAUAUAUGUUUUGAUCUCUCGAGAGGUUUUCUUUCGCUCCCAUUUCAUUUCAGCUCCGCCUGCGAAAUAUUCCAUUGGUUCUUGCACAUCUUGGCUACUUGAUUUACGUAGCUGUUUGCAGUUUCAUUUCAUAUUUUCAUGUAAGAUGUGUGCUACAUUAAGUUGUUUACAUUGUAAUCUUAAAAUACUAGCCACAUUUUUCAAUGCAACUGGUUAGACUUUUCUCAUAUUACAAAUCAUUUUACCUGGACAUAUAUAGAACAAAAACAUAAGUCAAUGUAAGAGGCCAUCAAAAACCAAGAGAAGGAAUUCUGAACACGUGAUAAACAUUAGAAAAAGAGGAGGCAGAGUUGUGAUCUUUAAAAGCACUAUUGCAUAGAUAGGAUGAUGUUUGCCUACAACCACCGCACUAUGUAUAUAUGUGAAUUUCAAUCUUGAUCUGCCAACUUACAAGUGGUUCAAGAUAAGAAUAUGAGGAUGAAUAAAUAGGAUAAUAAGAUAAUAUGCCAUGGUGGACCACACUAGCUUAUCCAAGUUCUCUGAGAUUCCAACGUAUGCCUGAGAGCUUAGCCUCACAUGAAAUCCAUCACAAUUGAAGACAAUUAAGUUUGUUUUUGUAACUUACAGCCUUACAUCUACUAACUUUAUGUUAUCCGCUCCAUUUUCUGGCAAACUAGGUUGGGAAAGACAUGAUGUUGUCUGUUGUGUAUUAAUGGGUUGAUGUGGUGGAUGGAAUAACACAACUUCGAUUUCUUUAUGUGCCAAAGAAACAAAAGGAUUGCACAUUGUGAAAACUUGAGACAUGGAGCAUGGCCAUAUUAACAGCAAGUAGUUUCUCUUAAAUAUACUCUUUUGUUGGUUUGUAGUUAUAAUGUGGAGCGCAUUUUCUUCUGAUGCAACUGCCAAUUGUGAUUUUUUAUCCAUUUAUUUAUUUGAACUAAAUGAAAGUCUAUACUACUACAUUGGUUUCUGGCUAAAGUAACAUGGAGUACAUUAUUUUGAGAACAACCUAAUGUGAUUCUGGUACUGUUACAUCGUGAAAACGUAGUGCUUAAUACAUUGGCAUAAGUUAUCCUUUUUGAUUACUGAAUGAUACAACAUAUCUUUAUGUAAUUGAAUUCAUUUGUUUGAUUUAUCUUAUUUCUAUGAGAAUAUUAUCAGUUGUGAAAACUGUCUAAUCCAUCAGCAUAUGAAUAUCCUUUUUCGAUCACUGAAUGAGAUAUUUAUGUAAUUGAAUUUUUAUGUUUCAUUUCUAUUAUAUUUAUGGGAAUCCCUAUUAAUUAUUCCAACGAAUAAGUAGACGGGCGCAGCAACGCGCGCCAUCGAUGAUCUAGUACUUCAUGUAGUCGCAUCUAAAGAUGGUAUGUCGUCUCGUGCUUGUAAUACUCCAUCUUCAUAGUGAUUGCGCAUUCGUGCGUUCGUGGUUUUCUCCCGCAAAGGUUUCCACGUAAAAAUCCGUGUCUCUCGUGUCUCAUUGAUCUCGUUUUAUCUAACACGCCCCUGCAUCCGACUACUCCGCCCCGAGUCGCCACAGCUGCUCCGUCCCGAGCCCCGGGCAAGACCCGAAGCCCCGCCGCCUAGGGUUCGCCCGCCGUUGCCGCCGCCACCGAAUCAUGUCACCUCCGCCCCCGCAUCUGGCUGCUCCGUCAGCGAUUUCAUGGUUUGUAUGUCCAAACAUGAUUUGGAAUUAGGUGCUAGCCUUUGAUUCCAACAACAAAUAUCAAGCACAUCCAAACAACAGAAUUUGAAUUGGAGGCCAUUUUCUUUUCAUUUUGAAUUUGGUAUUCCAGUACAAUUCAAUUUCGAGCCACUUUUUCCAGCAUCCAAACAGGAGGUAAGUGAAUUCAUUGUCUGUAGUUUUCUUUUCCGUAAGCUGGAUCAUAUGGACAAAACUAUCUGUAGUACAUUUGUGUAUUUUCUAUCAUUUAAAUUUUGUAUUUGUAUUUCCUCUAAUUUGCAGCUUCGAGCGACAGGAGGAAUGACAAAAGGUGUUAUCGUAUUUCUUAGUUCCUGCUGCUGUUGCGUUUUUUAUAUUUGGUCCAGACAAGAAGGAAAAACUCUGAGGAGACCAUUGAAACCUCUACUUACUAGCUAAAUUUGUGGUGUAUCAUACAUGCGUAGUUUGUGGUGAAGCUGUAUUUGUACCUUGGGCUAUGUUCUUAUCUAGACUUAAUAAUUGUGAUGUUACUGCGUGGAACUAUGACAAGUUUUAAGCGCAAUGAUACUAGACUAGAAACGGGUAAAGCUGUCUAGCCGCAUUACUAGUAAUUAUUUAGCCUUAAUUUAAUUCUUAAAAUGAUUGGUUGGAGAAGUAGAAUCGUGUUGUAGGAGAGGGUCGGGCACAAAGUAGGGAGGAGGAGAGGUGGCCGAGGAUGGGGUUUUGGUGGGGUUUAGGGCGGGACCAUGUAUCUACGCAGUUGGUUCAGAUUUCCUUGCUUAUCAUUUAUUCUUUAUGUAUUGCAGUUAAGUUUAUAGCUGAUCAAAUGACAAACUACAAUAAGAUUGAAUACGAGACAAAAUGCUGCUUUUCAAAACAGGUUAUUCAAAUAAUCUCCCCGUGCAGUUGUACUGGAACCUGAAAAAAUAAAACAAUAAUACAAACAGAGUUCUGACGUGCUACAACGCUGCGCUACUCCUUCGGCAGUAGAGAUAUAGGUACAUCCAUGUGAUACUUUGUUAGAGCAACUCUAGCAGACCCCUUAUAUCACGCACAUGUAUCGUACGCUUACAGUUUGCGAAAAAUAGUUUUUACGGACUGGCGAGGGCAGCAGCAGAACAGACCCCACGUCGGGGUCUGUUCUCUCCCGACCCUCGUCAGCCCGUAAACUGUAAAAUUUAAACUUAACAAUUUGACAUCAAUUCCGAUAAUUUACAGUAAAUUUGAAGAAUCCAACAUAGUUUACGCAUAAAUUAAACCAUAGUUUUGGAUGAAAACACUAAAAGAACGUCAUGCAAAAGCAACCAUCAUCUUGAUCAUCAUUUUUACUCUCAACAACCGCAAAAGAACCUCAUGCAAAAGCCAUCAUCAUCUCCGUGAUCAUCGCCAUCAACAUCAUUGCUCUCCACCACCGUCACACAUUCCCUCACCAGCACCGAAGCCACCACACCUUGCGGCCAUCAUCCUUCUCUUCAAGAUUUCUCUCCCUUGUCAUAUCAUGUCAUUCUUUGGUGAUGUCGUCCAUUUCAUUGCGGUUUAUUACCAUGAUCUUGUUCUCCUCCGCAAGAAGAUUGAACAAAGCCUUGUUCUCCUUAGCAAGGGCUUUCCUCUCCUCGGUGACGGCCUUGCGCAUCCCCUCUUCUUUGAGUAAGAGCCACCUUUGAUGCUUCUCUUGCGCUUUCUUCUCGGCCAACUCCUUCUUUGUCUUCAAUGUCUUGAUCACCAACACCUUAUUUGAUUGCACCAUGAUAUCUGUCUUAUAACGCAAGCUUGAUGUCUCUGAUUCCCUCUUGAUCUUGUCCUUGGCCUUCUUGUUUCCAUCUGGCUUGUUCUUGUUUCUUGGGCCAUAAUCAUCCUCAUCAUCAUUAUCCAUCUCGGUGAGUGAGCCUCUCUUUGGUGGGGAUUCUUUCUCAAUCAACUUCCACUUUUGUCUAUGUUGAAGCAAUUUCCAACAAUGCUCUAGGUUGAAUGACCUACCACAUGAAGCUUCCAUGUCAUUGUACCUUUCUUGCACAAUUUUCUUCUAGAAAACAAAUGCAAUGUCAGCAUAUGAAACAUGUUUGAAACAUUUAAACUAUAACGUGAGAAAGAACUCAUAUAGUCAAAUUCAAUGGUGACAUUUGGUGGUGCAUUGCGAACUUGUUCCAAGAAAGCAUCCCAACAGCUAUAAACCGGCUUGAUGACUUUCCAAUGACCUUGAAGAGACCGAAAGGUGCGUGGUAUUUUAUUGGGAUACUUCGCCAUCAUGCCGAAGAAUUGAUCCUCUAUCCUUUGCCAAUACCGCUUGGUUGUUUGGUUCAUGCCAUUCGCCGCAUCAAGAGACACAGCUUCCCAUGCCUUCAUCAAGAUUUGAUCUUCGAAUGGCGUGUAGUUCUUGGAUCUUGCACCUUUUUUGCCUGCUCUUGGUCGAACGUUGCCUUUUCAAUCUCCUUCACACCAUCUUCUUCCAUAAUGUGAUCGUGCACGGCACCAUCGGAUUCAUUGUAACCAUAGUCACCAAUCGGUGCUUGAUCGAUGUCGACAUUGUUGUCGUCCAACAAGUGUACAAACUCGGCAAUUGCAUUGUGCGACCCGUCCCUACAAUUACGAUCAAUAAUGCACGAACAAACGUAAAUGGCGAACAAAGAAACAAGUUUAAAAAAGUUUCAUACCUUGCGUCCAUUUUGUCGAACACAUUGGAUGCGGCGAUAGCAUAGCCGUCCACGGGCAUCCUCGGGGUUGCUUUCGCCAGUGCAACAGGGGGAGGCAUUGGCGAGGUUGCUCUUGCACCCACCUUCUUGCAUUUCACUCCAGCAAUCUUGCCUUUUAGGGCCGGCGCCGACCACCCCGGAAUUGCAAUGCCGGCGGCGGCGGGCGUGUGUGCUUGCCCGACAGGUCCUGUGGAUGUGCUGCCCUAGACGACGAUGCCGCCCUUUCGCUUGCGGGGUGGCGUGAACGAGGGUUGAACGACGUAGGGCGCGACAUGGACGACGACGAGAUCAGGCGGAGGGUUUGAUGCGUGGCUGACCUCGGCGGUGACGGACGACGGCUCGAAGGCUUCCAUGGCAGUGACGGGCGGACGCGAUGGUGGUCCGGAGCGGCCGGAGGGAGAUCAAUAGAGGCGAACCAAAGUGGAAGCAGGAACUGCCGCGUGAAAAUGCCCCUCCCGCCAAAAAUCUCUGUCAAUAGGGGUCGAGCUCGGGUCGCCCUGCCAGCCCAUGAAUCUAGAGGUUAAGGGCGAACUUCUACCGCGCCCCGCAAUUUUUUUUACGGUUUGGUGACAGAUACGUUGUCUGUUAGGGACACUUUUCCAGCGUGAAACUGUAUAAUGACAAUUACUUUAAGGGCUUGCAUGAUAAACGGGGUUUGCUAAAGUUGCUCUUAGCGGGCUCGCGCGACCGGCGAAGUAAGCACUACUGUUUUGCCACCAUUAGUAAGAGAUGCUAAUCCUUUCGAUUCAGCAAACAAAAAUGAUAAGAUUUGUGAUUGAGGGGUACGCGUGUACGUGGUGGAUGCGCUGGCUUACCAUCUGAAUUCAAAUUAUUCUUAAUUUUAAAAUUAAAAUUUGAGGAGUCAUGGCCUAAGCCAGCCUUCUGGUACUAUUUGUUUUAUCUUUGGAUGAUACUUAAUUUUAAAAUUUGAAUACUAGUUUUCUGUUCUUUCUCAAAAUGUUGACGUCGCAUUCACACUGCACGCUUGAUUACAUGCAUGCAGUUCAAAUUUCGUUGCGUACCAAUUAGUCUUGAUGUAUUGAGCAGCUAAGUUUAUGCUUAGCUGACAAAAUGGUAAAACUACGAUAUUAUCAGUGCAUGUAAGAUUAAAUAGGAGGCAGCGCCAUAACUAAGAGUAGUACUCUUUCCGUUUCUUUUUAGUUUGCAUAUAAAAUUUAAUCAAAGUUAAUUUUUGUAAAGAAAGAUUAAUUAACUUUAUAUUAAAAAAAAUCAACAUUCAUAAUAUGAAAUCAACAUUGUUAGAUACAUCAUAAAAUUAAAUUUCAUACUACGUUGUUUUAUUAUUGCAGAUGUUGAUAUCUUUUGACAUAAAUUUGGUCAAACUACAUAGUUUGAUUUCGGACAAAUCUUAUAUAUGGAAUAAAAAACGGAAGGAGUAUGCGAAUUAUUUCAUCAGAGUGUGCUUUCCAAGACAGAUUAUCCGAACAAUUUGGUUAUGCAGUUGGGACUUUUUUUAUUAGAACCUGAAAAAGGAAAAGAUUAGUACAAACAAAGUUCAGCUGUGCUCCCCUUUCGCGAGUAGAGAUAUAGGCACACCCAUGAAAUUGGAAAUAAUUUGCUACCCACCAUGAUAGCUAUGCACGCACGGACCUAAUUUUUAUCUCUAAUUAUUUUGGUAAAUUAUUUUAGACUAUGAAAAAUAAUUCUAUAACAUAAAAUCCAUAUGAUUGCCACCACGUGAAAGGAAGGUGGGUCAGGGGCAGCAGCGGCUAGGGUUUGCCUGAGACGCCCAUAUGGAGGCAAGGCGAGCGACUGUGAACCUACUAGUUGUCUUCGGGACGUCUUCAUGCAGAGUGUGUAAUUUUUGUAUUUCACAAGUAGGAGGACUAAAUUGAGUUUGUAUCUCCCCUCUCCCCUAAUAUAAUAAUAAAGCGUGCAGUGUUUCUGUUGCCCGUCGUCGGUCAUUUUGCAGAAAAGUCCUCGUAGUUUCAGUUAAUUAACCCGCAGUCCAACUUUAAGUCAGAACGGACCGUUUUCUGUUGUUUUGCAGAAAAGUCCUCACAGUUUUAGAUAAUCAACCCGCGGUCCAUCUUUUAGUCAGAGUCGAACCGUUUUUUUUGCAUUUUACAGAAAACUCCCUGAUGUUUCAGGUAAUCAACACGCCGUCCUUAUUUAAGUCAGCCGAAACGUUUUUUUAACAAAAAAAACCCUGACUUUUCAGUUAAUCAAUCCAUAUUUUAUCUAAAACAAAAUUAUCCAUAUCUUUUAAACCGUAACUUCGAUUUUAACAUGUUAUAUAUGAAAUUUGAUUAAAAAAAUGUGUAGAAUCUAAAUAGGAUGUUAUUUUUAGCUGUUGAAUACUUCUUAAAUAUUAUUUUUGAUGCAAACUUAAUCUGUAAUGCACUGUCUUUUUUUUCUCUCUUUCCGACGAACAUACGAAUUGCAAUAAAUAUCCAUUAAAUUAAAACUAAAUUGAGAGGAAAGAAAACAUCGUUAACCACACAUGCACACCUUUGAAAAAUCUCGUGGGGAGAAACAACAUAUUUCUCAUCUUAUUCCGAAUGAUUGUACAUUCAAACGUGUUUUCGUUGUGUAAGCACUGAUGCCAUCAUCGACAACACAAAUGUGCUAAUAUAUUACGUUCAAAGCAUGUGUUAUUUUCUCUUCCGUUGCAACGCACGGGCUUUUUUGCUAGUAAUGAGUUAAUGACUAUAGAUGCAUUUAACUCCAGUUUCUGAGAGGAUGUUGUGCUUAACGUACGAUACAAAAGUGAUCGAUCUUCCCCAAGUCAGAUUGUUUUUUGAGAGGUAUGCUCAGCGUUCAGAAUUUCUUUUUAGGGAUGCUUACCGUUCAGAUGGCAAAAAGGGCGCACUUGCUUUCCUGAGGGCCCGUUCCUCGUUCCGGGCCUGCUCACGGCCGGACGACGCCCCAGCCCACACAUGACCGCUGCAGCCAGCCCAGCCCUCAAAAGAAAAAAAAGCGCUGCAGCCAGCAGCACGUUAAACACAGAUCGUACACUAGUUUCUUGUUUAGUUAGUACCACAUCGCUUGCUGAGAAGGUUGAAGCCGGGAGCGCUAGCUAUAUAAUCAAGGCAUGGUGCUACAUUCCAACAUACUUACCUGGACGGGGUCGACGACUGAUCAUCAAGAGUCGUGGCCUAGGCUAGUGGUCCACAUUGCACUUGGUGGAUGCGCUGGUUUACCAUCUCCCCAAGUGGGAGAGUGGACAUCAUAAUUUGUGAUAGAGGGGUAUGCGUUCGCGCGGCCCUGUCAAUUCUUUAAUUAAAAAAAGUCUUAAUUUGAUAGGUUCAACACAUAUAUUUGAAUUUGCUGGCCUUUUAGAAAAUCUUAUUUUGUCAGUUUGAAUGCAAGGUGGGCAUGGACGAGUGCCAUGUGUUCACCCGUCCUCCUAUGGUGCCACCCACAUUGUUCAGAUUUCCAUGCUUGCCUUGAUGUAUUAUUAGUGAGCAAUAUGUGUUUAUCUGGCAACUGAUGAA
rnacentral:lncRNA from 1 species